rnacentral:lncRNA from 1 species
CCUAUUUUAAUUAUUUUUUCUCCUCCUUUCUAUUUUAGUUAUUGUUAUACUCCCUUCCAUUUUAAUUCUUUGGCUACAAUGUAACUUGUAUUUAAUAGCAAACUAUUUUAUUUUUUAUUUUUAUCUAUUUUUGAGUAUAAUUAUAAUUUACUACUAAUACACAAUAGUCUAUUCAAUUUAUUUUAUUUGUUUUCAAAUCUCUCCCUUAAAUUUAAAAGUCUUAAAUUGAAACGUACCACUUUACAAAUAGAAAAAUGUGAAUCCUUCUGGCACAACCUUCUUCAAUAAUUACUUUGACAUCGCCUCGAUAAUGACAGCUAAGAAUUUGAGACUCUUCUUUAGUUCUCUAACAGCUAAGAGUUUUUGACUCUUCUUCGAUUCUUUGACUAUUAACAUACAUUUAAUCUUAAUUUCUUUAGUACAGAAAAAAAAUGGCAGACUAACUGAUAUUUAUAUCAGUUAAUGAAAGAGCCCAAUGCAAAAANNNNNNNNNNNNNNNNNNNNNNNNNNNNNNNNNNNNNNNNNNNNNNNNNNNNNNNNNNNNNNNNNNNNNNNNNNNNNNNNNNNNNNNNNNNNNNNNNNNNNNNNNNNNNNNNNNNNNNNNNNNNNNNNNNNNNNNNNNNNNNNNNNNNNNNNNNNNNNNNNNNNNNNNNNNNNNNNNNNNNNNNNNNNNNNNNNNNNNNNNNNNNNNNNNNNNNNNNNNNNNNNNNNNNNNNNNNNNNNNNNNNNNNNNNNNNNNNNNNNNNNNNNNNNNNNNNNNNNNNNNNNNNNNNNNNNNNNNNNNNNNNNNNNNNNNNNNNNNNNNNNNNNNNNNNNNNNNNNNNNNNNNNNNNNNNNNNNNNNNNNNNNNNNNNNNNNNNNNNNNNNNNNNNNNNNNNNNNNNNNNNNNNNNNNNNNNNNNNNNNNNNNNNNNNNNNNNNNNNNNNNNNNNNNNNNNNNNNNNNNNNNNNNNNNNNNNNNNNNNNNNNNNNNNNNNNNNNNNNNNNNNNNNNNNNNNNNNNNNNNNNNNNNNNNNNNNNNNNNNNNNNNNNNNNNNNNNNNNNNNNNNNNNNNNNNNNNNNNNNNNNNNNNNNNNNNNNNNNNNNNNNNNNNNNNNNNNNNNNNNNNAUAAACAAAGCAACCUUUCGUCAUUAAUCUUCGGAGGCGAAUUACAUAUUCAUAUCCACAAUAAAAGAAUUAGUGAGACUCCCUUUCUUUUGAUAUCCCAAUCAUCUGGCCUUUUAAAAAAGAAAAUUAAAAACUUAGAACUUUUAAAAGGGCGAAACAUGCUUUAUUCAACACAUUCCCAUUCAAUAACACCUAUUUUGCGAAGAAAUUUCUCUCUGUUUGGUUCUUUCUUUUUCUUUAGAACUUCUUUUUGUUUAUACUUGGAUGAUAAGUCAUUAUAAUCAUUAAGGUUUUUAAGAGUUGCACGCUUAAUUUUAUCACUAGAUAAGGAUACAAUGGUACCCCCGUCGUGCGCAAUCCUAGAUCCGCCUUUGCUGUCACUUAAUGUUAUUUAGAAUAAUAGAAGCAUGAUAUAAUGAAAACAGAAUUAAACAUAAAUGCGAAAAUGGGAGCUAUACAACCCAAAGUGGCAAUACUCAACAUAACUUUCCAGAACUAGACGAAACAAAGUCACAAGCUCUAAUUAAAUACACGAGAACAUCUCAAAAUACAGUAUUGUUUGAAAUACGUAAAAAAAUAGAAAUGAAGCAAGAGGGUAACGCUGAGGCCUGCGGCCAAAUCAUGUAGGGAUUACUUGAAGUCUCUGGUGUACAAAAUGACUCACUAUCGAUCAGCCUAAUCCAAAGUACCUAGAUUUGUACAAAAAUAUACAGAAAUAUAGUAUAAGUAUACCACAAUCAACAUCCAGUAAGUAUUAAGACUAACCUCAGCGAAGUAGUAACGAGGUUCAAGUCAUUUAAUACCUACUAGACAAAUAGCCGGGGCAAUGAUUAUACGAAGAAAACUAAUAACACUAAAAGAAUGAAAAACAAUAAAAACCCCCUACCCACCCCACCCCCACUACCCCAACGAGAAAUAAUAACUCAGAGUGAUAAAUUCAUCUUUGAUCACAAAAUAUCAAAUAGAGAUGGAGGUAUGUGAUAACACAUCAAAUGCAGUCAUUAACUCAAAUAAGGGAAAAACAAUAACUUUCAGAAGCAAUUAUAAAAAUGAAAAUAUCAAUCUCGUCUCAACACAAUUACAACUAUAAUAAGGAUAACCCGAAAUAUCACUUAACUUUAUCAGCAAUGUCACAUUUACUGCGCCGCAUGUGCACAUAAUAAUAAUAUGCCACUCUUAUUUCGUCACAUGCGCAUAUAGCCAUCCUUAUUUUUCUACGUGGGCUACCCGAGAUAACGCUACCUUAUUUCAUACACACGCACAAUAAUAGACACAUCACAUGGUAAAAACCUCGCGUUGACACCCCUAAUCAAUCCUCUCAAUAUGUCCACAAGUUUCACAAUACCUCAAAACAAUAAUACAAAGUGCCGUAGUAUCGCAAACAAUAAUACCAAAGUUCCAUCAUGAUGUAAUCUCACAACUUUCAACAACAAUACAUAUGUACAUAACAAUAAUCAGAAAAAUGAAGGGCACACAAUAAAUAUAGCAUGAUAAUAGCUAAGUCAAGGUAAUGACAAUGAUCAUAUAGUCAUAAAAGGAUCUCAACAUGGUUCUUAUGAAGUUCAUUAUUAUAUUAAAGGAUCGUUUGGUAAGAAGUAUUAGAAAAAAUAAUGCAAGUAUUAGCUCCGUGCAUUACUAAUACCUUGUUUGAAAUAUUUUUUCAACUUGUGUAUUACUAAUUCUUGUAUUAGUUAUACAUCAUACUUGGUAUUAUAUUAUGUAUAAGUAAUAUAGAGAAAACCAUGACAUUAGUACUACCAAGGAUAUUAAUGCGCACAUUAAUAUGGUUAAAGGAAAAAUUAUCAUUAAAGUCCUUUAAAACUAGAGAAUAUGGAGGGUAUUUUUGUAAACAGCAAUUUUUUAAAAAAAAUUAUGCGAUGCAUUAUAAUUUUUAAUACACUAUACCAAAUAGUAGAUAAAAAAUAAUAUUUGCAUAACUAAUGCUUGUAUUACUAAUCUAUGCAUUAUUAAUCCCUGUAUUACUAAUACACUUUAUUCUGCAUUAUUCUUAGUCACCCUACCAAAUGACCCCUAAGGCAUAUUAAUAGCCUACUGUCUAUUCCGGUCAAAUUCAGACAUAGCUCGUCACCUCAUGUAAAUGUCACUUCCACAUCAUAGAAAUCAACAUAACAGGACUAGCACCUAAGGGGUAUCGCCCCACACAAGGUUAGACAAGAUAUUUUCCUCAAAAAAGUUAAAUUAUUACUCUAAGAAGCCCUUUACACGUAAAAGAAAACCUCUAGACAGCUCGAAUAUAGCUAAAAUAACGUAAUAUCAUAAAUAAAGCCAAAGAAAACGAUUCUGAAUAACAAACCUUCGAUCUUUAACUAAAAUAAAAAAAGUUAAUCCCGAGUUUGCACCCCGAAACGCGACAAAACUCAUAAAUUCCAAAUACCCAUUUCGAUAGGAGUCCAACACCAUACCAAUUACAUCCAAUUCUAACCUCAAUUCGAUCUUUAAAUAAUCAAUUUUAUAUUUUAGAAAAGUUUUUACUAAAAUAUCCAAUUUCUUCAAUUCAUAUAAUCAAACAAUCGUUAGAUUUUAUGUUGGAAUCAUGAAAUAUAAACAAAUCCAAAUAAAAAUACUUACCCCAAUACAAAUCAUGAAAAUUCCCUCCAAAAUCUCCCAAACAGCUCUAUAACUCAAAUUAUGAUAAAAUAACAGAAGUCCUCAAAAUUGAGUAUUAAAAAGGUCUGCCCAGGCAUACCCUUCGUGAUUGCGGAACCGUCUUUGCGAUCACGAAGCAUAUCUAAACACUGCCUCCAAAUAACUCCACAUGAACGCGAGGCCAAGGCCGCGAAACAGAAGCACAGCACACUCUUGACCCUACGUGAACACGGGCGACUCAUUGCGAUUGUGAAGGCUUAUAGCCAUAUGCCCCCAGUCGGCCUCCCUUCUAUGAGAAUGCGUCAACCCUCAUGCGAUCGCAAGGGGAAAUGACUCUCAAAGCAUUGGGAACACAAAGAAAAACCGCCUGCCAUAAAAAAUACACUACGCGAUCGGAACUACCUUUUCACGAUCGCGAAGAAGGAAACUAGGCAUUAGAAAUUAGUAAUUCCAAAAACAUGGAGAAAUUGUCUGAAACCCAUCUGAAAUACACCCAAGGCCCCCAGGACCACGUACAAUAAAAUCAAUUCAUCCUACAACACAACACAUACUUAUUUGAGGCCUCAAAUUACACCAAACAUCAUCAAAACUAUAAAUCGCACCUUAAUUUAAGCUUAAUGAACUAAUGAAGUUUCAACUUCUAAAACUCAUGCAGAACCAUGUCAAAUCAACUUGGAAUGACCUCAAAUUGUAUGCAAGUCCCAAAUGAUACAAAUUACCUAUACUAACUCUCGAAACCACAAUCUGAACACGUUAUCUAUUGAUACCGAAUUUUUCCUCACAUAUUUUAAAAUACACAUACACACACACACACACACACACACACAUAUAUACCUUCUUCAAUAAUUACUUUGACAUCGCCUCGAUAAUGACAGCUAAGAAUUUGAGACUCUUCUUUAGUUCUCUAACAGCUAAGAGUUUUUGACUCUUCUUCGAUUCUUUGACUAUUAACAUACAUUUAAUCUUAAUUUCUUUAGUACAGAAAUAGUAUUAAAAGCUCCAAAUAAAUUUAUUUCUUCUUUUUUUAUUAUAUAAGUAUCUAAUAAUUAUCCUUCAAAUUACUUUUGUGAUGGGUUAGUCAUCUAAAUUCAUUAUUUAUGUCAACAUAGUAUUUAAAUAUUUUUAGUGUAUUUUUAUAAUUAUAUUUACAUUUUUAGGGGUAAAUUGCACAUAUUUGCAAUAAUAGCCUAUACUAAUGUUUAAUUACUAUAUUUAUGCAUAAAAUGGUCUUCUAUAUUUUUAAAAUGUUUAAAAACUAUUUAAAAUUAUUUUAUUACACAAAGGUAUUUUUUGUACUCAUUUAUUAUGUUUUAUUGAUUAUUUAGUUAUUAAAUGUGGCUAUUUAAUAUCUUGCCCUAUUUUAUUUCAAUUUUGAUCUUAAUUUUGACCCAAUAAACAACCCUUUUUUAACCUAAAACUACCCAUCCCAAACCAUAAUGCGCGAUCCGGCCCCAAUCUCUUUCAAUCUUGGCCGUUGAUCAUAGAUAUCAAUGGCCGCAAUUAAUCCGUUCCCUUUUUAUUUCCAAACGAUCCCCCCCCCCCCACCCCUUUNNNNNNNNNNNNNNNNNNNNNNNNNNNNNNNNNNNNNNNNNNNNNNNNNNNNNNNNNNNNNNNNNNNNNNNNNNNNNNNNNNNNNNNNNNNNNNNNNNNNNNNNNNNNNNNNNNNNNNNNNNNNNNNNNNNNNNNNNNNNNNNNNNNNNNNNNNNNNNNNNNNNNNNNNNNNNNNNNNNNNNNNNNNNNNNNNNNNNNNNNCCCCCCCCCAACCCUUUUAUUUAUCACUGUCCGCCGCCUGAAAUCCCUUUUCUGUCCAAAAGCUAUCAAGUCCUAAUCCUAAUCUACUCACAUCACCGGUCAUUUCCUGCCUUUCAGGGUGUUUCCCCACCACUACUUGGCCUUUAAUGGCCUUCCUCAUGUUGGUAUUGCCAUCUCUAAGGUCCUCGAGGGACCAGGGUUAAUCCACUUGCUUCUAUGGCCCUUUCUCACCUGUUUCAGGCUGUUCCGAUUUGAUUCCGAGGAAGAUCUUCCUAUAUCUAGGUGUUUCUAAGCUUGUUUCUUCAUCUAUGUGAUUGUUAUUCUUGAAACCCUAAUUUCUUCAUUAUGAACUUCUUAGAUCUGUACAGAUCUGAGAUAUUUUUGACCUAUUUCGUAUGAGUUUUAUAAUAGCCUUUUGAUAUUUUACAAUAACCGCCUGAUUUUCGAACGAUUUUUCCUUUUUCUCUAAACUAGGGUUUCCGCAAAUUCUUUUUCCAAAACAUAUUUGAUGAUUUGGGUGUUUAAUCUUCUGUUUCCUAUAUGUUUUAACUGAUUUCGUUAAGUUUGCUCUAACUUCAACUCCUUUAUACUAAAAGCCCUAAUUUUUUCGACUCUUUUGUUUGAUUUCUGAGUUGCUUAUGUAUUGUCGUUGUUCCUAAUAUGCCCCUACUAAGUUCUUGAUUCAACAAUUCUAUUGAUUCUAUAUGUCUAUGUUCAUUUUGACUGUUCUUUUCUUGCUUUAUUUAAGUUGUCAGCGAUAUUUGCUGACUCUUUAUGUGAUUUUCUCCUUAGUUAAACUCUUGAUUAUUCCGAAGUUCUUAUUAUCGGUUUGACUUGAGUCAUUUUCCCGAAGAAAAAGCCUCGAUUCUUAUUACUCUACUUGGUUUGAUUGAACUUCUUACCUUAAUUAAUUUCCUCUUGCCUUAUUGGUUAUUUGCUAAGACUUGCUAAUUAUUUCCUUAAUUAGAACCAUGUUCAUUCAACCCUUAUUACCUUACUUGAUUUCCUCCCUUUAAAAUAUUUGUCAUGCUUUUACCGUUGAUUGGUUAUCCCUUAAUUAAAGAGACGACUUACUGAUUUACAUGUGUGAUUGAUUCCAUGAAUUUCCCAGACUGCUACUUAAUUGAUCUUUUACCUUAUUUUUGUUAACUCUCGAUUACGAUAUAAAAUCCCUCUUAUUCUUACUCCGGACAUGAACAAUAGUUGAGCAACUAUCACUUUACACUCUAAAAGGAUCUCUCUCUCCGAUCUCUUUUCUACUUGUGAUCCCUGUUAUUCUAGCGGGCUACAAGACAAGGCCGGAAAUUGCACAAUACUUUGCUCGCAUCUUGUGUUUUCUUUCUUUAGCUAGGUAUGCUUUUGAUUAAUUUUUAAGAAUCAAAACCUAUGUGUUUACUUAUUGCUUUAUUUCAUGUGGCCUGAGUUCGUUCAUACUUUUGUUUACUGCCUAUUCAAAUUCGUAAUUUGCAUGUUUCCACUUUACUUGCCUAUUUGUUAUCUUGUUUAACAUGUCUACAUAUGAUAAUGAGCUUGUUUGACUGAACUUUGUUUAUAUAGCAUGCCUAGACCUUGCCUUUGUGUAAUCAGCAUGCCUUCACCUGUCUUUGAAUGUUCUGACUCACUCCUGUUAAGUUAAUCACUCUCCAUAGAAUGGCUUCAACAUGUUUCUGCUAUGAUCUUUGCUGCAUGACCUACAUUCUACCUAUUAGUUCUACAGAAUCACCUCAAAACUCUAUGUAUUCUAUUGUCUGUAUGCUUCACUAAGGUGUACUUCAAUGUUCCAAAUCCAUCUAACCUUGUGUGAAAGCUACUUGCUAAAGUUACAUCCCAAAGCUUGAUUGUUCUCUAUCUUGUGUUCUAAUUGCAAAAUUAUUUCUUUACACUUUCCCUCAAACUGUUUUAUCACUAGUGGUUUUCAGAAGUUCUUUUUUAUCCUAAGACUUUUCUAUUAAACUCUUUCAAACUAUGAACUUCCACUUACUCUUAGAAUACUAGAUCAUGCCCUUCUAAUAUCUGUACUUCCUUGAGACCCUUGAGAUCUCUCUGAACUCUGGCAUGUCAGAGCUGGCAUUUCCACACCGCACCCAAAUCAAUUAUUAUUUGAGAAAGGUCUAGGUGUGAGCACUGCCCAUGAUUCUUAAGGUCCUUAGGGAACUUUGGCACACCUAGACAUGAAUUGGCAAUUGAACUUUGGCACUUGAGAUUACUGGAGGCUUGGAAAUUAUUUGAGCCUACUUAGGCUCCCUAUAGAUUAAUUUUCUACUUUAUUUAUGCAAGUUUUUUUUAUCAAUUCAUUGGUCUGUAAUAAUUUUGUAAACAAAUUAUAGGGUGAUUAGUGAAAAAGGGGAGUAGUUAUAUAUGUGGGUAAAAUUGGGUAGAUACCAUGCCUAUAAGGUCCAUAUUGAUUCAAAUGUGUUUGUUAGAUAUCAUGCCUAUAGGAUCUGCUUUGGUUUAAAAUAAGUUUUGCUUCCACACAAUUAGAAUCCAUGCCUACAUGAGUUAAAAUAAGCUUUAAUAGAAAUCAUGGCUCUAGGGGUUUCACCUUGGUAAGAUGAAUUCUGCUUGCUUCACAUUUUGUUUAAUAUGAAACCAUGCCUAUAGAACUAAAACCAGUUUAGUAAGGAAAAUUAGUUUAAUUCAUGUUUAUUUAUUCUGAAUUGGUUUAAUUAACUAAUCUAUCCACUUCUUUAAUAAGCUCCAGCGAUGCCUUAAAUAAUAUAGCUAGAAAACAUGCUUAUAGGAUCCAAACUUCCAUCUAAAAGUGUUUGCUCUUUAGUUACAUUCUUAAUCAAUAAUAUAUAUCAUACUCCCAAGAUAACCUUGUUAUACUUCUAGGAAAGCUUGUGGGGUGAUCAAAAUCAUGCAAACGAUGAAAUCGCGCCUUGUUAUUUGAGACUGCUCACAUUCAACAGGUUUAAAAGAAUCAGUUGGCAAGUAGGAUUAAGUUCUUUGAUACUUUGGUCCUUAUUCAAUAAUUUAUAAUAUCUGCUCACAUAGAUAUCAUGUUUUAGGGUUUUCUCCUAAAUACUUGAAACUAUUGUUUGAGACGUACACUUAUGUGUUAUGUUUGUGGAGGUAAAUGUGAGCCUUUAAUUGUUCCCUCUUUAAAUUUAGUCAUAAUUGUUUUGUUGACACCUAGACUUUUCUCCUUUAAAUACCUUAGAAUGGUCUAGAAAUACCUAAAAUAGAGGUCCUAAAUACCUCCAAGGUCAUGAGGAAGGGACGGGUAGUGCACGCAUAGGAUAUCUAUCAAGGUUGCUAAAACGUUUUAGGCUAUGACCAAGGGGAGGGAAUUGGGUAGUAAGGAUAUGAUGACUAAAUGCUAACGUCACGUGUAUCCCCUCAUUGAGGAGUAAUUACCGGGCAUUGAGUGGGUAUGAUCUUGUAGGCUAACAAACCUAGGACCCCUUUCUCCCAACUCCCGUUGUUUAAAUAAAUUUAUUUUAUAUAUAUGUAACUUGUUCAUGUCUUUUCUCUUGUUUCAUUACUUGAAUCAUACAUGUGCUUGAAAUAUCAAAACAUGCCUUUACUUGCAAGUACGUGUUAAAACUAUUUAUUUGGUAAAAGGACUAUUCAAGUAAGUAUAAGUUCGGCUGGGACCCACCAUUGUAGACCGCGAUGGGUGCCUAACACCUCCCACUCAAGGUUAUUUCGAGUCCUUAUCUGGUAAUGCAAUCUAGUUUAAAAGUUAAUCGAUGUAGGUGCUAGCGCACCAUAAUCCGUUAGGUGGAGACUCUUCAAAUUCCCAAAUCCCAAAAGAAAAUGAGUUAUUUCCCCCAUGAACGUCGAAACCCGAACUUCUCCGUGGAGGAAAAAAAGGGGGUGCGACAGCAUAGCGACUCUGCUGGGGAUACCUUUAGGCUCUUACCAUAAUGAACUUAUCUUUUUGUGAAUUAGUCCAAUCAUGCUUUAUCCCGUACCUUUUCCCCUUAUUUGAAUUUAACUGUCUUUUUUUAAACUAUUUACGAUUUUUUAUUCCUGAAACUGACUUGUCUCCCUGUCUUCUUUUUCAGUAACUGUCUUUCAAUUAUUUAAAUACUGCAUUUAUUAUUUUUACAUGCAAAUACUUGACUACAUGCUAUUUAUUGUUGCACAAAUCAUGUUUCACGUCAUAUUCCACUCGUGCGUACUAAAUCCUAUAGCAGCACUUGAUGAGUGGUAGUGCUCUUCCUAUUUAUUACCCUUAAAUUCGGAAAGACUUAUUUGCGGUAAAACUAGUCGAUCAGUGGUGCAGUCGACGGUUCCGUACUUUCCCCCCUCAAGUUGUCCGCUUGAGGGUACCAGUCUAGACCCACAGAGUAACCUUACUCUGAUUGCAAUUGUGCAUGCAUCAUGGUCAAACCUAUUCAGAUUAAUAUGUUAUCUACAUAAUGAUCCUUUAAGACAAGCCUUCCAUAAGUCCACUGGGGUUUCCAUAAUCCCAACAGACACAACCACAUUUUAUGCAUUAAUUUGGAGAAUUAAAUGCCAAUGCUAAUCAUGAAUGUAUAAAUAGUUGGGUCUGGUGGGGGAGAAGGGCCUAACCUUUUUGUUUUGUAGAAAAUGAGGCAUGAGGUCACCAUAUUCGGUACAGUUAGCAAUUUCCCAUGACCUUUCCUCAAGUGACAAGAAACACGUAAGGAAGAUCAUGGGAAAUUUACCUUCUCUACUAGACAUUCGGCCAAAUGAUAGGUUGAUCAAGGCUGCCACUUUGUUCUGGGACAGAGAAAGGGUUGUAUUUAAUUUCGGUGGCAUAGAAAUGACUCUAUUCCUAGAAGAAAUUGGGGACUUACGGGAUUGACAUGAGAUAGCCAUAGGUUGUUGGUACUGGAGAACCGUACAGGUAAAGGUUUUCUAAAGAUGGUGGGGUUGAAGAAAAAUGUUAACUUGGAGUUCUUGAAGAAAUACAACGUACCUUUCAAAUGCUUGUAUGAGAGGUAUGGCCACAUAAAGUCCUUCCGUACCUUCCAUGAUGAGCUUUCUAUCACUUCUCUAGGAUACAUCCACCACAGAGUGUUCAUAUUCAUUGUGUGUUUCUUGGGCCUGAUAGUAUUCCCAAUGAAAAGAGAAAGAAUCCAUAAUAGGUUGGCCAUGGUCACCAAGACUUUGAUGGAAGGGAUCAAUAGGCAAACAUACACUAUAGUCCCCAUGAUCAUAGCCUACAUCUACAGGGCUUUGGAGCGUUGUCAAAGAGGUAUCAAGCAUUUCGAGGGUUGUAACUUGUUGCUUCAGUUGUGGUUACUAGAACAUCUUCAUAAGGGUAAUUAUCGCCAAGAAUUUCAGUGAAGGGCUUGAAAGACCAUAUUUCCUUCCAUCACCCCAAGUGGAUGACUUACAUUUUGGACAGGUUGGCUCAGCCGGAAUGUUCCAAAGAGUGGGUAGAGUUCUUCGACAAUCUGACCGAUGAACAUGUGCAAUGGAUAUUUGAAUGGUUUCCAAUAAGCGAAUUCAUCAUCAAGUCCUAAUUGGGUUGAGAGGGAUAUACCCUUAUGUCCCUAUCUGAGUUAUGAGGCAAGCAUGUACCAAAAUGAGCCAUUUCAUACCAGACUUUUAGGAUGAUGAUGUCCCUUACAAGUGCCAAGCUCAACACAUGUGGAAAUGCAAGAUCAUUAUGGAAAAGAACACUAUUGAGCCGGACAGGUAUCAUCCGGGGUGUGAACCUCUCUACCUAGCAUGUUUAGAGGACAAUCUGAAAUGGAUAGUGAGGCCAGGAGCCGGUUGAGGGAAUAAGAUCAUAGAAGAAGAAGCUGAAACUCAAGUCAAAUACAACAGGCUGCGCAAGAGGGUCCACGACUCUAAGAAUGCGCAUCGGGAAAUACACGAGAAAAAUAUGAGGUUGAUCGACGUAUGAAAAGAAAUGGCUGUCACUUCCAAUAGAAAGUUGGAAUAUCUGGAGCUAAGAUUAGUGGUGCUAGAGGGAAAAGUCAUAAAGAGGAUUGAGGUUUGCCAGAAUACUAAAGGAAAUGAAGGAGAACAUCUGGACAGAGCCUACUAGCUGCUGGGUCUACGGGAGCUGGGGAACCUGUACGACAGAGUCAAUAAGAUCUUAUAUGGGAAAGGUCCUUCUAGGACCAAGUAGGAUAGAUUUAUUUGCUUUCCUAAAUGUAAUAGGGCCAAGUGCCAAUAGUGACUUACUUUUCUAUUGUAUUAAUGUCGUUUUGGGAUUUGUCUAUUUUUACAUUAUGAAAUGAAACAUUUACUAGAAUCUCAAGUUCUCCAAAUCUAUUUGUUGCUAGGCCUACCUUAGGCACAACGAGGCUCCCAAAUUACGGCACGGAUUUGCAUUCCCGUAAUAUUUGUUUAAAUACUGCAAAUAUUUCAAAACCCUCAUUGACUUGUCUACCUUUUUGUUUUUUCUUUAUUCUUUAUUCCCAUCCCUUAAGGUUGGUUCACUCAUACUGGCAUUAUCAACAUAUCACACGAGAUCUAGAGGCCCUCCAUCUCCUCCUCCUCCAAGCAAUAGGCAAAGGAAAUGCAAAAAUGGACGACUUAAAAGGUAUCCGAAAGGAGAAAGUUGAGAACACAGAAACUUCAGAUGGACGGAGUACUCCAGCACCAAAUGAUCUAGUCUUGAGAUUGGAACAAAAUAUAUUGGAAUUACAAGGAGAACAUGAGCGGGUUUGCAACUCGACAAACUUGUCGCUCACCUUAAAUGUCCCCAACAUCAACCAAUAAAAUACAAAGAAUCCAAUACCACCCCAAAACACACCAAACUAACAUCCGCAAAACCCUCUUGCACCGCAUCAAUAUGCAGCCCUACCCCAAAAUAUAAAUCCCCUACCAAUGCCAACUCUGCCAUACCACCACCACCAACCAAUUCAGUACCCACCAACUGCAACUCAUUAUAUUCCUAAGAAUACACCACAACCCAUUCCGAACCCUAAAAACUCCACCAAUGACCACAACUACACCCAGGCACUCUCCAAAACAACCCCAUAUAUGUGGAAACAAUUUCUCACUCUAUACAACGAAUCUCCUAUACCCCAAAAUCCUUCGAGAAGAACCAGCUCAUUAAAAACAUGGAUGAAGAACUCAAGAAGCUAAUAAGUCAAGUUCAGGAUAUUGAAGGCGGCAAGGGAAUAGAAGGUUUGAACUAUGAAGACCUAUGCAUACAGCCAGAUGUAAAACUUUCCGGAGGGAUACAAACCUCCCAAGUUCGAGUUGUUUAACGUACGGGUGAUCUCGGGGUUCAUCUAAGGACCUAUUGUGACAAGCUUGCGGGGUCGGGAAAAGAUGAAAAAAUACGAAUAAAACUCUUUAUGAGGAGUCUUACUGGAGAUGCUUUAACAUGGUACAUCAGCCAAGCUCCCAAGAAACGGUCCAAUUGGGUAAGUAUGGCAUUAGAUUUCAUGGACCAAUUUAGGUUCAAUACAGAGAAUACACCUGAUAUUUUCUACAUCCAGAAUUUUAUGAAGAAACCUACCGAGACUUUCUGUGAGUAUGCUACUUGUUGGAGGUCAGAAGCGGCCAAGGUCAGGCCAUCUUUGGACGAGGAACAGAUGAAAAAGUUCUUCAUCAGAGCACAUGAUCUAAGGUAUUAUGAAAGAUUAAUGGUUACUGAAAACCAUAAAUUCUUUAAUAUCAUCAAGCUUGGGGAAAGAUUCGAGGAAGGCCUCAAAUUAGAAAACCAUAAAUUCUUACAAAAGCUUGUUUGUUCUCUGUUUUGUGUUCUGAUUGUAAAAUUGUUUCUUUACACUUUCCCUCAAACUGUUUUAUAAAUAAUGUUUUUCAGAAGUUCUUUUCGAUUCUAAGAACUUUCUAUUAAACUCUUUCAAACUAUUAUGCAUUUAUACUUACUCUUAGAAUACUAGGUCCUGCACCUCUGAUAUGUGUACUACAUUGAGACCCUUGAGAUCUCUCUGAACUUUGGCAUGUCAGGGCUGGCAUUUUCACAUUGCACCCAAAUUAGUUAUUAUUUUAGAAAGGUUUAGGUGUGAGCACUGCCCGAUAUCCUUGAGGCCCUUAGAGAACUCUGGCACACCUAGACAUGAAAUUGGCUAUGGAACUUUGAGACUACUGGAGGCUUGGAAAACAUUUGGGUCUACUUCAUGCUCCCUAUAGAUUAACUUUCUAUUUUAUUUAUGUAAGUUUUUUAUUCAUUUCGUUGGUCUGUAAUAAUUUUUGUAAACAAAUAGUGGGGUGAUUAGUGAAGAACGAAUGGUAGUUAUACAUUGUGGGUAAAAUUGGGUAGAUACCAUGCCUAUUGGGUCCAUGUUGAUUCAAAAUGUUUGUCAGAUAACCUGUCUAUAAGAUCUGAUUUGGUUUAAAAUAAGUUCUACUUUCACACAAAUAGAAUCCAUGCCCAUAGGAGUUAAAAUCAGCUUUAAUAAAAAUCAUGCCUAUAAGGGUUUCACUUUGGUCAAAUGAAUUCUGCUUGCUUCACAUUUUAUUUAAUUAGAAACCAUGCCUAAAGGACUAAAAUGAGUUUAGUAAGGAAAAUCAGUUUGAUUCAUGUUUGUUUAUUCUGAAUUGGUUUUAUUAACUGUUCUAUCCACUUCUUUAAUAAGUUCCAACACUGCGUUAAACAAUAUUGCUAGAAAACAUGCCUAUAGGAUCCAAACUAUCGUCUAAAACUGUUUGCUUUUUUGUUACAUUCUGAAUCAAUAAUAGGUAUCAUGUUCCUAGGAUAUCCCUGUUAUACGUCUAGGCAAACCUGUAGGGCAAUUGAAAUCUUUCAAACGAUGAAACUGUGCCAUGUUAUUUGAGACUGCUCAUAUUCAACAAGUUUAAAAGAAUCAAUAUGCAAGUAGGAUUAAGUUCAUUGACACUUUGGUCCUGAUUCAAUACUGUAUAAUCUCUGCUCACCUAGAUAUCAUGUUCUAGGGUUUUCUCUUAAAUACUUGAAACUGUUGUUUAAGACGUGCACUUACUUGUUAUGUUUGUGGAGGUAAAUGUGAGCCCUUAAUUGUUCCCUCUUUAAAUGCAGUCCUAAUUCUUUUGAUUGACUCCUAGGCUUUUCUCCUUUCAAUACCUUAGGAUGGUCUAAAACUACCUAAAAUUAGAGGUCCUAAAUACCUCCAGGCCCACGAGGAAUGGACGGGUAAUGCACACAUAGGAUAUCUAUCAAGUUUGCUAGACCGCUUUAGACUAUGACCAAGGGGAGGGAAUUGGGUAAUAAGGAUAUAAUGACUACACGCUAAUGUCACAUAUAGCCCUUUCGUUGAGGAGUGAUUACCGGGCAUUGUGUGGGUAUAAUCCUGUAGGCUAACCAACCUAGAACCCCUUUCUCCCAACUCCUGUUGUUUAAAUAAAUUUACUUUAUAUAUGGGUAACUUUUCAAGUCUUUUCCCUUGUUUCAUUACUUGAACAUGUGCUUGAAAUGUCAAAACGUGCCUUUACUUGAAAGUACGUGUUAAACCUAUUUAUUUGAUAAAAGGACUAAUUCACAUAAGUAUAAGUUCAGCCGGGACCCACUGUUGUAGAUUGCAAGGGGUUCCUAACACCUUCUCCUCAAGGUUAUUUGAGCCCUUGCCCUAAAUCUCUGGUAAUGCAAACUAGUCUAGGAGUUAAUCGCUCUAGGUGCCUAACGCACCCUCCAGGUGGCGACUCUUCUAAUACCCAAAUUCCAACUGGAAACGAGUUAUUUCCCCAUGAACGUCGAAACUCAAACUUCUCUGUGGAGGAAAAAAAGGGGCACGACAAUAUCAUUAAAGUCAACCCUCAGUCAAACCUAUCAGCCUUCCAAGCCUUCAACUUUUCAACCUUUGCUAAUUCAAGCCAAAAUAACCUAGGAACCUCCAAAUCUAAAUCGAGACAUAUGCCUAAGUUCAAAUAAACAUACAAAGCCUAUCGAAAUAUCAUUCAGGAGUCAUUUACAUAAAAUUAGAACUCCGAUCAACACUUACAACUUAAGCCUCCAACCUAGGGACUAAGUGCACCGAAUCAAUCCAAAACACCCCCGAAACCAAAUCAACCACUCCAAAAAGUCCUAAAGCAUAUAUAUACAUAUGAAAAGCAUCAAAUAGGGGAAACAUGGAUAAAAUACUCAAAAUGACCGAUUGGGUUGUUAUAUUCUCCCCUUCUUAUAUAAACCUUCAUCCUCGAAUCAGUACAGAGACGUACUUGAAGUGCCAAAAAGGUGAGGAUAUCGGCUUCGCAUAUCAUAAUUGGUCUUCCAAGUUUCCUCCUCAGCUAGUUGACCUCUCCACUGGACCUUCACCGAAUCAAUGUUCUUCGACCUCAACUUGUGGACCCGUUUGUCCAAGAUAGCAACCGGCUCCUCAACAAACUCAAUUCCUUGUCCAAUUGCACUGAGCUGAAAUAUAAACCAUAUUAUGGAUCACCUUAAUACUUUUGGAGCAUGGAACAUUGGAAUACCAGGUGAACGCGCGAUCAGAUGAGUGGCAAAGCAAGUAUGUAGGCUACCUUACCCACUCUUUCAAGAAUCUCAAAAGAACCAAUAUAAUGAGGGCUCAACUUUCCCUUUUUCCUGAACCUCAUCACACCCUUCGUUGGUGAAACUCUUAUCAGAACCCUCUCACCCACCAUGAAUGCCAUAACACGAGCCUUCCAAUCAGCAUACCUCUUAUGCCUUGACCAUUCUGUAUGAAGCCUCUCUUGGAUCAACUUUACCUUCUCUAAAUUAUCAUUGGGCCAAGUCAGUGCCAAUAACCUAGCCUCCCAAGGCACAAACCAACCAACUGGAGAACGACAUUGCCUCCUAUGUAAGACCUCAUAAGGAGCCAUCUGGAUGUUAGACUGAUAGAUUUUGUUAUAGGUGAACUCUGCUAGUAGUAGAAACUUGUUCCAUGAACCCCCAAAAUCAAUAACACAAGAACGUAACAUGUCCACCAAGAUCUGAACAGUGUGCUAGGACUGCCUGUCCGACAAUGGAUGAAAUAUCGUACUUAGCUCGACCUAUGUGCCUAACUCACACUACACGACUCUCCAAAAAUGCAAUGUGAACGCAUGCCUUGAUCCAAGAUAAUAAACACUGGCAUACCAUGAAGGCAAAUAAUCUCAAGAGAUAAAUUCGAGUGAGCUGCGAUGAAAAGUAGGUAGUCAUAACUGGAUUGAAGUGUGCAGUCAGUCUGUCCAUAAUAAUUCUCACAAAGUCAAAUCUCCUCAAGGUCCGUGGAAGUCCAACUACUAAAUCUAUGGUGAUAUGUUCCCACUUUCACUUUGAAAUAUCAAGCCUCUAAAGCAAACUACCAUGUCUCUAAUUCUCGUACUUUACCUGCUGAAAGUUCAAACAUCGAGAAACAUACUCAAUAAUAUCUUUCUUCAUCAUCGGCCACUAAUAGUGCUACCUCAAGACCUGGUACAUCUUUGCAGUAGCUAGAUGAAUGGAGUACCGAAAACUAUGGGCCUUUUCAACUAUAAACUCAUGCAACCCAUCCACAUUAGGAACAUAGAUAUGACCCUGCAUCCUAAACGCCCCAUCAUCCCCAGUAGUAACCUCCUUGGCACCGUCAUGCUGCAUCAUGUCCUAAAGUACAAACAAGUGGGGAUCAUCAUGUUGACGUGCCUUGAUAUGCUCAAACAAAGAAUACCGUGAAACCAUGCAAUCAAGAAACUGGCUAGGCUCUGAAAUAUCCAACCUCAUGAAACUGUUGGCCAAAUCCUAAAUAUCCAAUGCUAAUAGUCUCUCCCCAGCUGAAAUAAAAGCAAGACUACCCAUUUUAACGAUCCCAUCGGUUGUUUCGAGUUCUACCAUGUUUUUCGAUGGUUCAAGACCUUGAGUAGCUUCACUUAAUGUAUUAUGACUUGUAUGUGUUGCUUGUUUUGAUUUUUGGGAGGUUCAAAGUUGAUUUAUAGAAUAAUUCUCAAUUCGAAAGCCUUAAUUUGGAAGAGUUGGCCAAAGCUUGACUUUUGAGUAAAUGACCUCAAAAGGGAUUUGAAGUUUUCUAUAGGUUCAUAGGGUAAUUUCAAACUUGGAUGUAUAUUUAGGUUGAGUAUCGGAUGGUCUCGGAGUAUUUCACACUUAAUAUCGGAAGUUUGCAUUUUGAAGGCUUUGAAUUUUUGUAAGUUUGACUUGGAUUAUGCAUUAGUGUAAUCAGAAUUUGGGUGGUGUUUGGGGUCCUUAGAUAGGUUCAUUUAGUUGACUGAAACUUGUGCGUGAAGUUUGAUCGAGAUCCGGUAUGUCUAAGGGCAAUUCGGGCGCAUUCGAAAAUGUUUGAAGGUUUGAAAGUUAAAAGAAGGAUGUUGAUCGCCGAUUCGUGAUUUUGAUUUUAUUUGUGGUAUUUUUAGCCUUCGAAUAAGUUUGAAUAAGGUAUUAGGAAUAUUUGGUAUGAUUGGAUGGGGACCUUGGGUGUGAUUUGGGGUGGUUUCAAAUAAUUUCUUCUUGUUUUGCAGCUGUUGGUUCUUAGUGUUCAUGGUAUGCAUCGUGAUCGUGGAAGGUGAGUUUCGAUCGCGAAAAGUGACUAGAGUUGGGGAGAAUUUUUUUCAUCGCAAGUGUAGUUGGGAGUUCCCGUUUGCGAAACAGAAUUUUCUAGGGCUGGAUGGUUGGUCUUUGCAUUAGCGGAGCUGGUCUCGCCUUCAUGUAGGCUUGGUAGGUUUUUUAACGCAAUUGCAAAAGGACCUCGCAUUACCGAAGAAGGAACCUUGGGCGAGGCUGAUUUGGCCCUCGCAACUGGAGAUUGUUUCUGCGAUCUCAAAUAGGAAGGUCUUGGGCAGAAUAUAAGCUACAAAUCAGGAAUUUGCUCAUUUCAACUCAUUUCUCCCUUUCUAAGGCAUUUUUAGGCGAUUUGGUGGAGCCAUUUUCAUCAUCUAUAAUGAGGUAUGUGAUUCCUACUCACUGUGAGUUAUAUACAUUGAUUAUAUAUGGAUUUGGACAUGAAAAUUGGUAGAAAUUGUGGAAAUUUUUGAAGAAAAUCUAGAAAUGGUAUAUUUGGGAAUUUUUGAAUUGUUAAUUUACAAGUCAUUGGGUAUAUUUUUAUUUAUUUGCAGGUUGUUUGACUAGUUUCGAAUCCUUUGGCAUUGGUUUGAUGCGUUAGAGAGGCGUUGGAGUCGAUUAUUGGAUUUCAGAGCGAGGUAAGUCUCCUGUCUGACCUUGAGAUGGAAAAAUUACACUGCAGGUGUUAUAUUUAUUAUAUGCUACAUGUUUUGGGAGCUAAGCACAUAUGAGGUGACGAAUGUCCAUACGUAUAUUAGAAUUCCUGAUUAGGUCCAGGCAGACUUAGACUCACACCGCUUUUUAAUUGUACUAUUUGAGUUAUUCUUGCAUGAUUUAAAUAUUUUAAAUUAUAAUUUUAUCCUGAGACUAGACUUUAGUAAGGUAUUGAACUUGCUAUUUUAGAUAUUAGGCGAGUAAGGUAUUGAACUUGCUAUUUUAGAUAUUAGGCGAGCUACUUGAUUAGCUGUAGAAAUUAUAAUUUCUUUUACGGAUUCCUCCUACAUUGUGCAUACUUGUCUGAAAGUUUCUUAACUUUCAUAGCUCACACAUAUAUUCGCGAGUGAGGCCAGUGACUCGUCAAGUUUCAUUAAUCCUACAGGAUCGGGCUGAACGCCUCAGUAGUUCUAUUAUGGAUUAGGUCGUACGAUAUCAAUAACACUAUGAGAUGCAUUUAUGGUUUAGGUCAUUUGACCUCGGUAGUGUACACAAUUAUUAUAGGAUCGGGUAGUACGCCGCCAUUGCGCUUAUGGGAUCAGGUCGCUUGCCUCAGCAUAAUCGUGUGAAAUAAUUGAUAAGGAGUCAACGUACUUAUGAGUUGUUCUGACUUGAGAUGUGACAUUUUAUCUUGUGCUGACCAUUAUAUAUUCCAUUCUAGGUAGUAUUCGGCUAUUGAUGACUUCAUAUUAUUUCUUCUAUUGAGAAUCAUGUUAUGUACAUAUAAUUGAUCUUUACUUUUUUACUUGUCAUGCUGUGUACCUGUCUACUUAAUAUUAUACUAGAUUUAUGGGACCACUGGUAAAUAUCAAUAUCGACCCCUCAUUACUAUUUCUUUGAGGUUACGCUAUAUACUUACUGGGUAUACAUUGAUUUAUGUACUCAUACUACACUUCUGUACUGAUUGUGAAGGUACUUAGACAUUUACUUCUGUUGGUCAUUGAGAGCAUACGGGCAUUCGUUGAGGAGACUUUGUUAUGCGUUGCUCUCGAUGUUACAAUCCGCAACACACAAAGUCCCUGAUCUAUCCAUUUACUGUAUUCUGUUUAUUUCCUGUUCCAUACAACUAUUGUAAUAGUAUUGCAUAUUCUGGUAGAUAUUCAUGCACUUGUAAUACUGGAUUUUGUAGAUUAGAUUUUGCUUGUGGUUGUAUUCUUUUAUGAUUCCGGGUUUAUAUUUUGGCCACAUUCGAACAUUUAAAAUAUAACAUUUAUGAUUUUUAUGAAAACUAAUAAUUCUUACUCUUUAUUUCUUUAAUUGAAUUGAAAUACACUUUGGAUUUACUAUUAACGUAUUGAUUUAAUUGUUGGCUUGCCUAACAGUAGUGUUUGGCGGCAUCACGACCUAUAAUGGAUUUUGGGUCAUGACAUCCAUGCUUUCAGUCUUCCUACUCUAAGCAUCAACCACCAUAUUAGCCUUCCCCAAAUGAUAAAGAAUGGUGAUAUCAUAGUCUUUUGGUAACACUAAUCAUCUAUGUUACCUCAAAUUUAGAUCCUUUUACGUGAAUAGGUGUUGUUAAAUCCUAUGAUCCAUGAACACCUCAGAAAACACACCGUAGAGAUAGUGCAUCCAAAUCUUCAGUGCGUGAACAAUGGCUGCCAACUCCAAAUCAUGCACUGAGUUGUUCUUCUCAUGGGGCUUCAACUGAGGCGAAACAUAAGCAAUUACCCUAGCCUCCUAUAUCAACAUACACCCAAUGACAAUCCGUGAAGUAUCACAAUAGACUAUAUAAGAACUCGAUGCUGAAGCCAAAACCAGAAUUUGAACUGUAGUUAAGCAAUCUUGAGCUUCUGAAAGCUCUCCUCACACUCGUCAGGCCAUUUGAAUGGGACACGCUUAUGAGUCAGUCUAGUCAAAAGAGUUGAUAUGGGCGAGAAACCCUCCACAAAACGACUAUGACACCCAGCCAAUCCAAAGAGACUCCGUAUCUCAGUAGCAGAAGCUGGUUUGGGCCAACUCUGAACUGCCUCAAUCUUCUUCGGAUCCACCUUAAUUCCCUCAUUGAACACCACGUAGCCUAAGAAUGCCACUGAAUCAAGACAAAACUAGCGCUUGAAGAAUUUAUCAUAUAGCUUCUUCUCCCUUAAAGUCUGGAGCACGAUCCUCAAAUGUUGCUCAUGAUCCUCUCUAUUGCGAGAAUACACCAAUAAACAAACAACGAAGGAAUUAAGAUAUGUCUAGAACACGAUGUUCAUUAAGUGCAUAAAGGUUUUUGGGGCAUUGGUCAGCCCAAAAAACAUCAGUAGAAAUUCAUAGUGACCAUAGCUGGUCCUGAAAGCCAUCUUUGGAACAUCUGAAGCCCGGAUCUUUAGCGGAUGGUACCCCAAUCUCAUGUCAAUCUUCGAGAAUUCCUUAGCACCACGGAGUUGAUAAAAUAAAACAUCAAUACACGAUAGUGGGUACUUGUUUUUUACUGUGACCUUGUUCAGUUGCCUGUAGUCAAUACAUAUCCUCAUAAAAUCAUCUUUCUUCUUCACAAAUAAAACUGGAGAACCCAGGUGAGACACUCAGUCUGAUGAAACACUUAUUUAGAAACUCCUGAAGUUGUUCCUUUAAUUCCUUCAACUCCACUGAUACCAUGAGAUAUGGUAGAAUAAAAAUGGGUUGAGUGUCCGGCACCAAGUCAAUACCAAAAUCAAUAUCCCUAUUGGGUGAUAUGCCUAAUAAGUUUGUUGAAACACGUCUGAAAACUCCAUCACUACCAGAACUGAAUAAAUGGUAUGAUUAUCAACACUGACAUCCCUCACAAAGGCUAAAUAUAAGAAGCACCCCUUCUCAGCCAUCCGAUGUGCCUUCGGAAAAGAUACCACCCUACUAGGAAUAAGACCCAAUGUAACUCUUUACUCCAACCUCGGUAACCCUAGCAAAGCCAAUGUCACGGUCUUAGCGUGAUAAUCUAGAAUAACAUGAUACUGUGACAACCAGUCCAUGCCCAAAAUCACAUCAAAGUCCACCAAAUUGAGUAGCAAAAGGUCAAUCCUGGUCGCAUCAUCCCCGAUAUUGACUAAACACGACCGAUAGACAUGGUCUACCAUAAUAAAAUCCUCAACAGGCGGAGAAACAUAAACUUAAGUGUCCAAAGAAUCAUGAGAAAUAUGCAAAUAUGAAGCAAAAUAGGAUGUAAGUGGAACCUAGAUAAAUUAAAACUGAUGCAUCCCUAUGAAAAAUCGAAACAAUACCUAUGAUGUUAGUGUCUAAUGUAACAAUCUCAGUCCUACCAAGAAAAGCAUAACAACGGGCCUAGCCUUCCCCUCUGGGACAACUUCUACCCGUCUUUCCUCUGCCUCUAGUAGGCUGUACAGGUAGAGUACAACUGAAGCAGCAACCAUGGCUUGUGUAUCCUGUGAAGUUCUAUCCCUCCUAAGUCUGGGACAAUCCCUCAUAAUGUGCUUCAUAUCUCCACACUUAAAACAACCUCUCUCUGGGCAUGGCUACUGGUAUUGAGUUAGACCUGGUCAACUAGAGUAGCCUCUGUAGGAACUCCAUGUAGAAGGUGAACUUGAAGAUGACUGCCCUAUUUAAUUGACUUGAGGCUCCUGACUAGCUAGAGUAUCAUGAGUAACCUAAAGUGCAGACUGAACUAGUCGACUAGUAAAACUUCUGCCAUGUUUGUCCCAGAGUAGGUGCCCCCAAAUCCUCUAAAACCACGAGACUUCUUAGCCUCCCUAUCCUUUCUCUCCUGACUAUGCUUUAACUUCCUAGAGAUCUCCACGACCUACUAAAAUAGAGUAUCUAUCUCCAACUCUCCAUCCCAAAUCUGAGGUUGUAGAUGAGUCCCUUAAUAAAUCUACAAACUCUCUCUAGUAGUGGAAACAAAAACAGGUGUGUGACGAGACACCUCAACAAACCUCAUAGUAUACUCAGACACAGUCAAAGUCCCCUGGCACAACUGCUCGAACUCAGUGGUUAACGCAUCCUUAAGAGUAUGUAGGACGAACUCCCUAAAAAAGAGUUAGAGGACUGAGCCUAAGUAUGUGGAGGUGAGUCAACUUGCCUACUCUUCUCAUAAGCGUGCCACCAUCUAUAUGCCUACCCUGUCAGCAGGAAAAUAGUAGGAUCAACCUCGAUCACCUCCACUAUGCCCAUAGUGCGUAGAUUACAGUGACACUGAUCUAGAAAACUCUAUGUAUCUUAAAAUACUACAUCGCUGAAAGUAGGAGGAAAAUACUUCUUGAACAUUUCAAGACUUUUCUGCUCCUCCUAUGAUGCCACUGGCCUGACCUUAGGCUGAACUGCAAUCACAGGCUGUACAGGCAUAACACCCAAAACCUUAUCAAUAUAGGCUCGUUUGUUUGGAUUAUGGGCAGUGGGAUUCUAGGCUCUUUCCCAACCUAAAAAUAGUUGUGCAACUGGGAUCAAUCCCGACUGAGCCAAGGUACCAAACAUGCUCAAGAAAUGUGCCAAAGUCUCCUAUAGUCCAAGGGUAUUAAAAUACACCUCAGGUUCCUGCUCUUCUAUCAGAGCUACUGGUGGAUCCUCAGUCGUUAUUUUGGCAAGUAUUCUAGAUGUUGCACGUGCCCUUCCUCGGCCUCUAUCUAAGCCCCAACCUCUCGCGGCUCCAGUAAGGGGGGCGUAUGGUUGCUCAGCUGAUCUGGUUGUGCGUGUCCUCAUCAUAUAUGAGAGAAUAGAAAGACUAAAGGUCAAGCUCUAAAAUUAAUAAAUCCAUACGAAAUAAAAGAAGUGAAAUUUUCUAAUAGUUCCGCAGCCUUCGAAGAUAUAUACAGACGUAUCAGUACCGAUUUGUAAGAGUGUAAUAAACUUUCUCGUGACUCAUAGAACUAUGAACCUAGAGCUUUGAUACCAACUUGUUAUGACCCGAAAUCUCACCUUAUGGAUCGUGAUGGCACCUAGUAUCCAAACUAGGUAAGCAUGUCACUUAACAUUUUUAAGUGUUAGAAGCAUGAUAUAAUGAAAAUAGAAUUUAAAAUAAAUGCAAAAGUAAGAGUAACACAGGCCAAAGAGACAACACUCAACAUAACUUCCCAAAACUAGGCGGUAUAUAGUCACUAGCUCUAACUGAAUACACGAGGACAUCUAAAAAAUGCAACACUGUCUGAAAUACAUAAACAAUAUAAAUAAAAUAUGAGGGUGACUCCACGGCCUGUGGUCGGAUCAUGCAGGAAUACCUUGAAGUCUCCCGCGUACCAAUGCCUCACUGCUAAUUAGCCUGAUCCGAAGUACCUGGAUUUGCACAAGAUGUACAAAAACAUAUUAUGAGUACACCAUAAUCGGUACCUAGUAACUAUCAAGACUAAUCUCGAUAGAGUAGUAAAUCAUUUGAUACUCACUUGACAAAUAACCUGGCAAUCAUUAUAUCGAAAAAAACUGAUAACAAGAAUAUAACGGGAAACGAUAAUAACAACCCCUCUAGAACGUGCAAUAACAACUUAAAGUGAUAAAUCCUCCUUUAUUCCCAAAAAAUCAAGUAGAGGCGAGGCAUGUGAUAACACGCUAAAUUCAGUGACUAACUCAAAUAAGGGCAAAACAGAAGCUUUCAAAAGCAAUUAUAAAAAAAACUAUCAAUCCAGUCUCAACAUAAUCAAAGCAACAAUAAGGACAAUCCGAAAUAUCAUAUAAUGUUAUCAACAAUGCCACUCUUAUUACACUGCAUGUGCAUAAAAUAAUGGUAUGCUACAUUUAUUUCGCCCAUGCGCAUAGAACCACAUUUAUUUCGCCACGUGGGCAAGUAGCCUGAGAUAACAUCGCCGUUAUUUCUCCACAUGCGCACAAUAGUAGACACAAUUGCAUGACAAAAACCUUGUGUUGACACUCCCAAUCAAUCCGCUCAACAUGUCCACAAGUGCCAGAACACCUCAAAACAAUAAUACCAAGUGCCACAAUAUUAAAAAUAAUGAUACCAAUGUUCUAUCAUGUUGUAAGCUCAUAAUGUUCAACAACACUGCAUAUGGACAUAACAAUAACCAUAAAAGUAGAGGGGUAUACAAUACAUAUAGUAUUACAAUGGUUUUUUCAAUGUAACGAUCAUGAUCAAAUAGUCAUAAAAGAAUUUAAACAUAUUUCAUACAAAGUUCAUUAUCACAUUAAGGUAUAUUAAUAGCAUACGGUCUAUUCCAAUCAAAUUCACACAUAGUAACUAUAUAUACGCACGUCACCUUUGUACACAUUACUUUCACUUUAUAGAAAUCAAUAUAACAGGUCUAGCACCUAAGGAGUAUUCCCAUACACAAAGUUAGGCAAGAUACUUAUCUCAAAGAAGCUAAAUCAAUAAUCUAAGAAGCCCUUUUCGCAUGAAACAACCUCCGGACGGCUCAAAUUUAGCUAAAAUCUUAAUAUCAUAAAUAAAAGCCAAAAAAAUAAUUUCGAAUAAUAAAGCUUCGAUCUUUAACUAAAAUAAAAAAAUCAACUCAAUAAGUUAACCGUGGGUCCGCAUCCCGAAACCCAACAAAAUUUAAUUCCAAACACUCAUUUCGAUACCAGUACAACCAUACCAAUUACACCCAAUUUCGACUUUCACAUCGACCUUCAUAUAAUCAAUUUAUGUUUUAGAAAAGUUUUUACUAAAAUUCUCGAUUUUUUCAUUUCAUAUCAUUAAACAAUCGCUAGAUUCAAGGUUAGAAUCAGGAAUAUAAACAAAUCCGAAUAAAAAUACUUACCCACGUAAAAAUCCCCUUCAAAAUUCCUCGAGUCCGAGCUCUAUAUUUCAAAUUAUGAUAAAAUAACAAAAGCUCUCGAAAUAGAGUAUUAAAUAGGUCUACUAGGCAUACCCUUCGCAACUACGGAACCGUCUUCGCGAUCGCGAAGCAUAUCCAAACACUCAUUCCAAAUAACCCUACGUGAACCCGAGGCCAAGGACGCAAAAACGAAGCACAACAGACUCUUGACCCUACAUGAAUGCGGGCGAAUCGUUGUGAUCGCGAAGGCUUACAGCCAGAUGCCCUCAACCAGCCUCCCUUCUACGCGAAUGCGUCAACCCUCAUGCAUCGCGAAGGCCACCGCCUCCCAAAGCAUCACAAACGCAAAGAAAACCCGCCUGCCAUAAAAAAUACCCUACGCGAUUGCGACUAGCUUUUCGCGAUCGCAAAGAAAGAAACGAGACAUCAAAAAUCAGCAAUGCCAUGAACAUGGAGAAAUGGUCCAAAAUCCAUAACCAACCUAUCCCAAAACAUAACAUAGACUUACUCGACGCCUCAAAUCAUACCAAAUAUCAUCAAAACUAUGAAUCACACCUUAACUCAAGCUUAAUGAACUAAUGAACUUUCAACUUCUAAAACUCAUGCCGAACCAUAGCAAAUCAACCCGGAAUGACCUCAAAUUUUGUAUGCAAGUUCGAAAUAACACAACAAACCUAUACCAAUUCCCGGAACCACAAUUCGAUCCCGAUAUCAAUAAAGUUAACUCUUGGUCAAACCAAUCAACCUUUCAAGCCUUCAACUUUUGUCAACGCAAGCCAAAAACAACUUAGGAACCUCCAAAUCAGAAUUUGGGCAUAUGCCUAAGUCCAAAAUCACCAUACGAAACUAUUAUAACCAUCAAAAUAUCAUUUUAGAAUCUUCUACAUAUAACUCAAACUCCGGUCAACUCUUACCACGUAAGCCUUCAACUAAAGGACAAAGUGCCCUCAAUCAAUCCAAAACUCUCUUUGAACCAAAACCAACCAUUCGACAAGUUCCCAAAAGUACAUAUACACACAUGUAAAGCAUUAAAUAAAGAAAACAUGGCUAAAAUACUCAAUACAAUCAAUAGGGUCGUUAUAUGAACUCUAGUCAGUUAUGCUUAAGUGUUUCUAAUCUUAGCUACGUGUAUUUUGUCCAAAUAAUAUCGCUACAUUAACAAUUGCUAUUUUUAAUUAAUUUUUGAACGACAGAUACUUUUCAAAUACCAUGUCAAAAAAUAGCUACACUACACCAUUUAAACAAUUUUCAUAUGAUUGUGCUAAAAACAAAAAACUAUUAAGAAAUUUGACAGAAAUACUUUAUUUGUAGGUUAAUUUUGACAAUUUGACCUAAAUACUUUGUUUGUAGGUUGAUUAUUGUAAAAAGAAGAAGCCCAACUUAUAAAAGCUGAACAUGGAAAAUUUCAAAUAAUCAGAUUUACUAAUCAAAAUAGAACUUUUAAAAUGGAAUCAAUCUGCGCUUUUUUGGUUUUAAAUUUGAAUUGUAAUUUUUAAAUCCAAAAACAGAAUUUUCUUUCACAAUCCAAUCCGAACGGUCCAUCCCUACCAAAUACUGUAUUUCAUACCCAGACCACCCUAACAUUUGCUUACAAAUACAAUUGCGUCCUAUAUCACACAAUCCUCCAACCUCCGCCGAGAAAUUCGUCGGAAUCUAUCUACCAGAAUAUCGCCUGAGAUUUUUCCGAUAAUCGACAAACGGCUAUAAAAAACAUAAGUUAAAAGAGAUAAGAAGGGAAAUCUCGCGUUGAAGAAUGGGGAAGAAACGGAAGUCGCUAGCAACGAGUCUCGAUGAGGUGGAUCGAACCAUGUAUUCAACUUUCUGUAGCGCUGCCAACUCCCUUUCUCAGCUUUAUACUCAAGCUAUGAACCAACAGAAACUCUCUUUCCUUUCCGGUGAACGCCACGGAAUGGUAUUUUUACUUCCUUCUUUGUUUGGUUUCUUAGUAUAUGCUAUAAAUAUUUGUUUUUUGUUUGUUUUCUAGUUUUAUGCUUAAUUUGGUAUCUAGGGAUUGUCUUAUGUUUUUCUGUCUGAGUUCUAAGGUAUAGCUGGUCUCAAUAAAGGAGUAGAGUUGCUGGGGGAUGAAAGCCCAUAGGAAUAUAGUGCGGAAAAAUUACUUUAACUAUGAGGAUUAUUUUGUCAACACCAACUAGUUUGGGUUGAUACAUUGUUUUUACUUCUUUUUUGGGUAUAAUUUUGGAAUUUGAACUUUGUCUGUGUGACCUUUCUAAAGUAUAGUGGGUCCCAUGUAAAGGAGGAGGAUUGCAGUUCCAAUAGAGGCUACACUAUGUGAAUUUUGCCUCUGUCUGAGCCAUGAUGCGAAGAGGAGUUAGUUACCUAAGUCCUUUAUUGGUGGGAGGUAGCAAGUGCUUGAGGUGAACACAAGCUAGCUCAAACACCACCAUUAUAUAAAAAGAGUAGGAUUCCAAGUUCCAUUUCUGUACUAAACUUCAGACCUUGUGCUCCCAUUCAGCUACAUCAGAAGUAAGGAAUUCUUAUGGGAUUAGCUUGCUGAAGGAGGUAAUAAAAGAAAACAUGUUUUAUGGUGUAUAUCAAUAAGAGUAGGAAAUGGUAUAAGGAUUUGGUUGGGAGAAAAGUGUGGUGGAACAGCUCUAGAAGAAGCAGUCAAGCCGAAUUUGAAGUAGUGAUUAGCAUGAUGCUAUAGUGUCUGACGGUUUUAGUAGCGAAAUCCAUAGCAAGGUUUGAUAAUCGGAGGAUAUUGUGGAAUUUCUUCACAGGUGUAUGAGUGGCCUAUAGGAGGUGAGGGGAUGAUAGGAUAGUAUGGGGGAAGGAGAGAAAAGUCAUCUCUCUAAAAUACAUAUUGUAUUAACUAUCCUGAGAUGGAGACAGGAAACGGUUAUAGAAAAAGUAUGGGAAACCAAGGCACCUAAGGAAGCAGAUUUCUAGUGGUCUAUGGUGCAAGAUUCAACUUUAGCAGCAGAUAAUUUAAAGAAAGAGGAUUGCAUUCUGUUGGAUUGCAUAGCUGUGGAAUCUUGCACUUUUCUUGUUUGAUAUUAGGUCGAUAAUGUCAAGCAGAGUAACAAACGUUAUAAAAUAAUGUCAAGCAGAGUCAAGGACAAUCACUUGUUGGAGAAUACAGAAGGCCGAAUAGGAGAAUAAGGUAAUUUGGAGAAGCACACCUUUGUUGCUAUCGUAAUUGGCGGAAUAGGAGAUUAUUCCAUAAUAGAGAGAGAAUACCCGUGUACUUAGAUGGUUGUGUUGAGAUGAGUGGAUAACUUCAUUGACAAUUGUGGUAUGUAAAUACUUUUGAUACCAUGGUGGUAUGUAAUCAAUGAAGUGAUCUGACUUGUAAAGAGAAAAAGUGGUGCGUUUGAACUUGAUUAGACUGUACUACUAUGAAGUUUUUCGUCAUACUUAUAUGUAGUUAUGGCUUCACACUAGAUUGUGACUGCAAGUACUUUUGGUUUCUAAGCUUAAAUUAAAUGUUUCAGAAGGAAAUGUUUCUUAGUACCAAGGCUUCUAAAUCUUUUUUUGGAAGACACAUGCUGUGUUAUUUUAAUAUAAAUGAUCUACUUCCAUUUGUUGGGAUUUUAUCUUUUGAUGUAUCCUAGUUGUUGCCCUUUUGACUGUGUAUCAUGAUAACUAACAUACCAUUGUUUUAAUAGGAAAAACUGUACCAAUGGAUCUUGAGGCAACAAGAGGGUGGAUCCAGAGUAACAACUGUUGACAUACUGAACUACCUACAGGUUUCUUCUCUAUUAUCUUGAUUAUCUAGCCACUUUUUUAUGGUUGAUAUGUUUGAUUUUCCUUUCAUGUUUAUUCUAUAGAGCUUCAUCUACUUAGCAAAGAGCAUAUGAGAUCCUUACUCUUCUUAGAAGUGCAAUAUAACCCUGAAAGCUUGGUCUUUAGUUUUUUUUAUAGUUGAUGAAUCUCCACACGAUCCUUUUCCCAACCAAAAAAAUGAAAAAAAAAGAAAGAACAAAACCAAAUCACCGAGACUCUAUUCUUUUGUUCCGAUCAGAAAGUGGGAACUCUUAUGCAUUGCUCUUUUGUGAUUGGCGAUAUUGUAGAUAACCUAACAAAAAGAACAUAAAGUUUAUCUUGUAUGUUAAUCAAAAUUAUCUUCUUGAAAAUCUUGGACAUAACUGAUAACAUGUUCUGCUUGUGAAUGGUUAGACUCUUCGGAGGUACGUCCUCAAUUUCACUACUCGGGAUCUAGAACAUAGAAUGUCCAAAUCCGAUUUUUAAUUGACUUAGACUGAAAGAGGCAGAUUUAAAGACCCGAUACUUAGGAACAGUCAAUGGAUUCAAAAUUACGAAAAAAGGCUUAAUGGAAUUAAAGAACAUGAGGUUUUUGUUUUACCCCAAAUUUGUUUGGGACUGAGACAUAGUUGUUGUUGAGGUUUUUGUUUUUACCCAGAUUCCUUCUUUCCAAAGAUUCUCUUGAUCUUUUUAUCCAGAAUUCGUGCUGAAGUACAAAUGCAGUAGGGACCUUUUGAGGUUCGUUGCAAAUGCUUAAUUGUUUCUAGGAGAGAGUGAGAAACCAGUGGCUUCUCUGUAGUUUUUGUGUGUGCAAUCAUUUGAGGUAAAUAUUGAUCGAGCUUAGAGCAUGUGAGUCUUGUUGUUUCCGCAUGCAUUUGCCCAGAUCUUUCAGCAAGUGAAUUAAUCGCGCAAGCAGAAGGGACACUAUGUAUAGUAAUGCGACUGACAUUGUUAGGUGGCUCUUGUGUCUCCAGUCAUCACUGUCUCAAUUUCAUGAUGACGAAUUAGAUUGUAAGUUUUUUUUAACGAAUACAAAGGACUGUUAUUGGAACUGCUCUAGCUGGCCUUUAAUCCUAUGUUUCAGUCUGUAAGCAUAAUGUUUAUGCAAAAUGACCUUAGAUCUAUAUGAGGUGUUAAAUUACUUUUACCUGAAAACGCUAAAAAAAUGAGAAUGAAAUCUUAUUGGAGUUCGGUGGAGGUAGUAGGAGCUCCCAAAUUGCUUUUGGAUAGACCGAACUGGUUGAGUUACCUGGAUAUGCUCUUUUGCGGAAAAGGUUGCACGAGGUUACUCAUCCUUGUUGAUUUAUGACUUGGAGAUGACUCAGUAAACAAUCUUGCUGUUUAUCUGCAGGAUGGUUUGAAAUUUUUGUGCGCUUUGUUAUUAUUAAGACGGAUCUUGAUGUCAUAAGGGUACCGGCACUUACCUUCCUUGCUUUCCAUGAUGAUUUUAAGCCUGACAUUGAAUCCUGUGAUGUUGUAUAUGAAAAAAGAAUGUCAUGAUGGCUAUUGAUUCUUUACAUGACAGAGAAAUUUGUAUCAAAAGAGAUGUGGUACGGCCAUCAAUUAGCUCAACCUUAUGCCUAAUUUUUUUUUUCCUUCUAGUCAAGGUUUUGGGUGCUUGUGUUUUCAAGAAUUUUAUUAAUCGUGGAUGGAUCUUGUGUCUGUUUUAGGCAUGGUGUAUCUGUUAACCUAUUAUCUUUGUGAGAGUUCUUUAUUUGACAUUAAAUGAUUACUGGAUUAUAGAUUGCAAGAGCCCUCUUGAUACAUUUGAUCUGAUUAUAUUCCAUUAUUAGUUUUCAUACUGAUGAGUCAGGUCUUCACAGAAAAUGGGAAACCAUUGGCUUCUCAGGCUCUCAGCUAUACUGAAACCAUUGGCUUCUCAGGCACAUGUUUAAGUUGCUUUCCUCUAAAGCUUGAUUUGUUUAUUUAAGUGUAUUUUCUAAGAAUCUAUCUCUCAAUAUGCAGAUUGGAUACUUAGAAUUUCUUUUUGCGGAUAUUAUCUCUUUUUCUUUUGAUAAAAAAAAUAGAACAACAUUUUUAAGAUUAAAAUAAAUUGUAUACUUGACCGGCCAUUCUUGUUCAUAGUGGUUGAGAUUUGAGAGAUUCCUUUACAUGCCACUAGGUCAAGAGUUUGAGCCCGAUGCUCUGUCAAACAAAAAAAGAAAUUGUACACUUGCUUUCUACAUGAAAUAAACUUUACGAAGUAGCGAAAGUUUCACGUAUGUAUCUGUUUGAUGUCAAAUUGUUGAAGACAAAAGAAGCAAAAAGGAAGAAAAAAAUGAUGAUGGUGGCUUGGGCUUAUUGGCCCUUGGGUAUAAGUUGUCGAGAUCUCGUUAUUUUGUAGUUUAUAGAUAAGAGCCUGAUUUCCUGCUUUUUUCAAAUCUUAUUUAACUAUGUACUGUUUCCCUACUGACUGCACUUAACUUAUGGAAGUAGUUUGCCCAUUUAACCAUUCUGGUUGCUAUCUUUUUACAAAACCACUCCUGGUUUUGAUAACAUCUGACAGCCCCGUUUUGAUGUGUCUAUGCAUCUAUGGAUUUGCCAGUCCGAAUUGGAUUACAAUGGAGAGGAUCAGUCAAUGUCGCCUAGGCCACCACCUCAGCAUCAGCAUUCCCAGCCAAUGCAUUUUGCAAACUCAGGCUCCCAUGUCUCUCCAGGUCCAGUUGGCGUAGCAGCUUCAGGUCAUGGCUUACGUUCUGAUCAUGAUCAGCAACCAAAGAAUAAUGUUUUCUCAAAUGCUCUUUCAAGUCCUGUUCGCCGGAGCUUACAGAAUUAUCACAUUGCUCAAGGGGGUCAGUUUUCGAACAAUGUUCAAUCUCCCAAUGGUACAAGACACAUUGAAACAAACUCCCAACAGCAAAAUAGAGAUUCUAAUAGUUAUAUCUCUGCCGAUGCAUCCAUGGAGAUGCAUUCCGAUAGUCCAGGUCAUGACUCUACUUACUGAAUUAAUGUUUUGGAAGCUGCCUUUUGUCAUGCCAGGGUGGUCAGACUGCAAGUUCAGGUAAAUUGAUGUAUUCUGUCGUGCAGAUGUUAUAGGAGAAAAAGUAGAUUAUGAUAUUGGCUGCUUGCUGAUAAGAUGAGAAGUGUCCAGACAUCAAUAUCGUUGUGCACAUGCUCAUUGAUAAAAUGCUAUUUGAUGAGUACCAUACCUUUUGAAUGCACUCCUGUUGUUUUUGGGACCAGCUAGUUUCCUUUGGGUCUUUUGUGAUACUUAUGAAUUGUUUCAUUAUUUACCAUACUAUGUGAUUGGUGUCAGUGUUGCCUGACCCAGGUUUAUUAGCUUGUAAUUUAUGCUGCUCUUAUGCAUUUGAGUUAUUAUUAUUUGAGUAAUUAUCAUUGUCCAAGGUCUUGUCCUCUCCAGGUUCUGAAGUCUCUUCCUUUCUAUUAAAUGUAAAUAUAAAUGUAAAUGAGAAUAACAAAGCAUUUUUUCCUUGUGUUAUGCCUUUGCAGAAUGGAAUAUUUCUUAGACCAAUUUGCCAAUGAUUCUCCAAGUUAUGCCAGUGUAAAGAGAGAUAAUCUUUGCAAUCAAAGUGAAACUUGAACAUAAUCCAGAUUCUAGACUAUUUUAGGGCCUGAGCCAGGUUUAUUAGCUUGUAAUUUAUGCUGCCUUUAUGCAUUUGAGUUAUUAUUAUUUGAGUAAUUAUCAUUGUCAAAGGUCUUGUCCUCUCCAGGUUUUGAAGUCUCUUCCUUUCUAUUAAAUAUAAAUGAGAAUAACAAAACAUUUUUAGUAAGCGGAAAAGGUCUAAAAAUACCCCUAACCUAUUCAAUUUGUUUCACCAUUGCUCUUAGUUAACCUAUUGGUCCCCUAAUACCCUCACAAUUAUUUCUUGGCUCAUAUUUGUCCCUAAAAUAAACUGUCCCUUUUAAGAGCUGAAAUUGAGAUGACAUGGCACUCUCUUAUUGGUCCAUAUGUAACCCAAGUAUGCAUUAAAUAUCUGCCUGCCCACGUAAAAAUUAUGUGGGGUAACUACUUUUUGAAGUGGUAUUUAUUUUUUAUCCAACAUUUUUAAUGCUCAGCAAUAGUAUCUACUAGUCUAUUAAAAUUAAUAUGAAAGAAUUGUGUUACUCUUUCUUCUAUCACUUUCAUGUGUUAGGGAGAAGAAUUGUGCUGUUGAUAACGAAUUUCGAUGAGCAAACUCCUCUGUGUUCUACUUUUCAGUUUUCCAUUCCAUUUGUUUCUCUACUCUAUAAUUGUUUAAUUUGGUAAAUUGAUAUUCGCAAUAGUACUAGUAGUAAAAUGAUCGAAUUUGAUAUGAGAAAUAGUAAGAGUUAGGUUAACGCUUUAAUUAAUAAAAAUAUAGAUAGCAGGAGUUAUGAAAGAGUGAAAGAUUUAAGGAAGUUGACGACGUGGGGGGUCCUGCAUUUUACCGAACAAAAGUUAAGGACACUUGUUCUUAAACUUAGAGUUACAAGUUAAAAAGUUAAGGAUACUUGAUCUUGAACUUAGACUAAAAAGCUCAAAAGUUAAGGACAAUAGGUCUUGAAAUCCUGAACUUAGACUAACAAGCUCAAAAGUUAAGGAUAAUAGGUCAUGUAGUCCUGAACUUAGACUAACAAGCCCAAAAGUUAAGGACAAUAGGUCCUGAACACACAGUUACAAGCUCAAAAGUUAAGGAUAAUAGGUCCUGAACUUAGGCUAAGAAACCCAAAAGUUAAGGACAAUAGGUCUUGAACUUAGACUUACAAGUUAAAAAGUUAAGGACAAGUGGUCCUUAACUUAAAGUUACAAACACAUAAAUUAAGGACAUGUGGUCCUGAACUUCGAGUUUCAAGUUCAAAAGUUAAGGACAUGUAGUCCUGAACUUAGAGUUACAAGUUCAAAAGUUAAGGACAUGUAGUCCUGAAACUCUGAACUUAGAGUUACAAGUUCAAAAGUUAAGCAUGUAUUUGGUGGACCAUUUGGAAGGAAAGAAACUCUAGAUAUUUUGAAGAUGUUGCAAGCCUAUGAACAAAGGAUUAAGUUGAAUUGUGUAUUUUUCUUUUAAUCUCAUAGGCUCCUUGUAGCUAUUAUAAGAUUGAUUUUUGUGUGUUUUGGGUCUUGUAAACGGUUACCCCUUAGCACAAUCUUUGUGCUAGGGACUAAAUUUAUCAAUAUAUUGGAAUCUGUCACCUUUUUCAAAAAAAAAAAAAAGAUGUUAAGGUCCUUGUAGCUAUUAUAAGAUUGAUUUUUGUGUGUUUUGGGUCUUGUAAACGGUUACCCCUUAGCACAAUCUUUGUGCUAGGGACUAAAUUUAUCAAUAUAUUGGAAUCUGUCACCUUUUUCAAAAAAAAAAAAAAAGAUGUUAAGGACACUUGGUUAUGAACUUUAUGAGCAAAUGGGUGUUUUCGUCUGUGCAGAUAAAAUUUAUUAAAACGCUGGCUAAAGACUAAGAAUAUUUUAGACAAUGGCUUAAAAGUAAAUACAUGUGUUAUUAAUGGUUAAUCGUGCACUCUCCCCUCCCCCAUCUACACAUAUAUUCGGACCACCCAUAAAAAUUUGAAAUUUCUAGCAAAAGCCCUGACCGAUCCUCUUCUCUAUUCCGUGACCUUCUUACUUCAUCUGAGUAGAAGUUCUGCAAUUCUAUCUUUUUUUUUGUUGAACAUAAAGCGUUGAGAUGUUACUGUAGGUAUAUAAAUUUUAUUGAAAUUAAAUCUAUAAAAUAACUUGGAUUAAUAUUUUGAAUAUAUAUUGUGGACUAAUAUAAUUAGGUUAAUUAUAUAAGUCCAAUAUAUAUGAAUUAAAUAAAUAAGUCUAAAUUUAUUGGGUUAGUCCAUUUAAUUGGGCUACAAAUGAUGAGUCACUUUAUUAGGCCCAGGAUGUCAUUUUUAUAGAGGAACAGUUUAGUGACACGUGCGAAAUGGCAUGACACGCCAAGCCAAACGGAAGAGCUAAUAGGAUCAUGCCAUAUGUCAAAAUUAAAAGGCAUGCCAAGUCAAAAUACUACGGUUGUUGCAAUAUUUUUCGGUCUUGAUUAUUUUCUUAACGCAGUUUUAUUGUCUAUAAAUUUUGACACGUCUAGUAGGAUAAUCUCUAUCUCUCAUCUUAACUUUUCAAUCAACAAAAUUCAAGAACAACGAAAUGGGUUCAAAGAAAAUCAACUCCGGAUCAACUUCCACAAUGGCUACUAAUUCUAGGUUCUAUGUUGAUGUAGAAAAUAUCCUUGAUAUUAUCUUUGGAAGCUUUGGACCAGUUACAUAGAGCAAAGCAAGCUUUUUAGGACGACAAACACUCCAAGUGCCAUCCGCAUCAACCCCUAAUUUCGGAUCUUCAUCCUCAACGAACGCACUUGAAGGAGAAAGCAAUGUUGCUGAUAAAAUUAAGAAAAAUUUAGCUUCGCCUAAUCUCUCAGGAUCCAAGAAUUCUGUGAAGGAAGAUGAUGGUACUUCAAUUGAUGGAUCCUCCCCACUUAAACCACAUACCGUGAGCCAAUCGACAAUCAAUCUAUGUGAUAAUCUAUGCUACUCUUCGUCGUCCACAAUGAUCAUGCAAAUAAUGAUGAUGAACGCUUCAUCUGUGGAAGAGCAGUUGGCACACUUGACAGAAGCAAUUGCUGGCUUGACCAAGCGCAUGCAAAAUAAAGAUGCUAGAAUUAACAAGUUGACAAAUAGAGUGGGAAUCUUGACGGAAGAAGAGUCCAUCCAUGCACCUGACAAGCUCCUAGAUGUUCUAAGGAAUGAUCCUCCCCAAGACAAUUAGCAUCUGCUAAGGCUAUCCUUAUAUCAUCUCAAGUUAUGAUUCCAAUGGAUCAACUAAAGGAGUUCAUUAAAGGGACUAUAAAAAAUAAGUAUGAAUUGCUUCCAAGUUUUCUCUUACAUACGCAAAGCCGUACACUGCAAGGAUCUAUAUGUUGAAGAUGCCUACUGGCUGUCAACCUCCAAAGUUCCAACAGUUUGAUGGAAAAGGUAAUUCAAAGCACCAUGUGCCGCACUUCGUUGAGACAUGCAACAAUGCUGGGACUUAUGGAGAUUACCUCAUCAAGUAGUUUGUCCGCUCGCUAAAAGAAAAUUCUUUUGAUUAGUAUACAGGCCUCGAGGUUGGUUCUAUUGAUAGUUGGGAUCAACUAGAGCAACAUUUCCUUAAUUGGUUUUGUAGCACAAGGCACACUGUGAGCAUGAUGGAACUUACAAAUACUCAUCAAUGAAAAGGUAAACCAGUUAUUGACUUUAUCAGUCGUUAGAGGAAUACAAGUUUCAACUGUAAAGACAAGCUUAGUGAAACUUCUGGCAUGGAGAUGUGAAUCCAAGGCAUGCAUUGGGGACUGCUCUACAUCUUGCAAGAUAUCAAGCCUAACACGUUUGAAAAAACUUGCAACUCGUGCCCAUGACAUGGAAUUGAGCAUGGCCUCUGCUGGAAAUGAAAGACUGCCUAUCUAUGAGCCUCACAUAGGAACGACAAGCAAGAAGUCAGAAAAUGGAGCAAGUUCAUACCAAAGUCUGAAAGUAAAGACACUAUGAAUGUCAACACCACCUGUGAAGUUCACAACAAAGAUGAGCAAGAAGCAGAGUACGAAAUCCCCUUCUUUUCAAAAUAAACUAAGUGAAAAGUUACUCUAAAAAAAAUGCAAGAGAAGGAGCACCCACUUCUGGAUUCUGAUGUCCCUGUAAUUUUUGAAGAACUCCUUGAGGUAGAGCUCAUUGAGCUUCCGGAGAUGAAAUGACCAAAUGACGCCGAGAAAAUUAAUGAUCAAAAUUACUUCAGAUAUUACCGACUUGUGAGUCACCCUUUGAUAAGUGCUUUGUCUUCAAGGAUAAAGUUAUGAGCUUGGCUCGUGAAGAAAAUAUCGUGCUUGAAGAUGAGAAGGUAAGUAUGAACCAAGUCUCUAUCGCCUUUGGCUCAUUCCAUCCACCUUGAAGAAAGUAAAUAAAUAAAUAUUAGAUAAUAACAAACUCAAAGUUGAUCAGCCUAAUUAGUAAUGAUGAUGAAGGUUGGAUGUUGGUGAAGCGUAGGCGCCACAAAAGAAGCCCACGAAAAGAAUCAAUCGAACAACCAAUAAGGAAAAUGAUAAAAAGACAAAAAAUAUAGAAUCCAAUUAAGCAUUUGAGGAAAGCGAAAGUGGAGGUGCACCACCCGCAAAAGCCACGACAUCUAGUGACAUUGGAGGAGUUUUUGCCAAGUUGGUUCCACACAAAUAUUUUUCAUGACAGUAUCGAGGCCUCCUGUUGCAAUGCUGAUAAAGGAGAAGCAACGAGUAAUGACUUACGCUUAAUACCAUCUUUGGAAAAUCCCAUUGAAGCUAUUCCUCAGGAAGUUAAUGUUUCCGAGAAAAAAGUCACAUUCAUGCAUGAUGAUCUUCUACUAGGUGACACUCCACAUAAUCUUCCAUUAUACAUGGUUGGUUAUAUGCAGAUGAAAGGGUUAAUCGAAUUUUGAUUGAUGGAGGAUCCUCAGUAAAACAUCUUGCCAAUGAUAAUGGAACUUGGCAUUCCCAUGGAUGAACUCUCGGAAAGCCGCUUGCUGAUUCAAGGAUUCAAUCAAGGGAGAAAAAGAGUGACAGGUGCAAUCAAAUUGGAGAUCACUAUCGGAGAUAUGGAAUCAAAUGCAUGACUGCAUAUGAUCGAUGCAAAGACGCCAUAUAACAUCUUGCUUGGAAGGUCUUGGAUACAUGAGAAUGAAGUGAUUCCAUCUACCUACCAUUAAUUUUUCAAGUACUGCAAGGAUGGGGUCGAGAAGAAGAUAACUGCUGAUGACAAGCCAUUCAUCGAGGCUGAGUGGCACUUCACCGAUUCAAAGUUCUAUUUGAGCAACUAUGUUGUGAAAUAACUAAAAGCUGAUGAUGUUAUGAAGAGUAAGAAUGACGUGUCCAUGACUAAAAGAGUCGAGGUUCCUAUUGAUAAUGACAAAGUUGUUGUUGAGAAGGUACGCCUUAACUUGAAUAAAUCUUAUAAAGGUAACAUUGAGUGUUAUGGUAAGAAAGCAACUCAUGCGCUUCUCUAUGUCCCUAAAAAGAGAAAGAUGAGGCCGAAUCAUCAAAUCUCCGAACCAAGAUGGUAAGGGGGUUAACUCUUCUGAUUAAACGAAUUGAGGCGAUAAAAAUAUCCUCAACUCUACUUGGAGGGUUUAUGGCCCAAAAUCAUUCACAGAAUGUGGCACUCUAUACAAAGCGCACAAGUGAAGGCUUUGAUCCUAAUGCUUACAGGCUAUUUGCAAAAGAUAGGUAUAAUCCUAAUGAACCGUCAAAAUUAGAGAAGCUAAUGUUAGAAACUGCUUCAAGGCAACAACGUGAAGGUCUGGGAUACAUGCUACCAUCACCUAUUCGCAUCUCUAUAAGAAGGCAAACACUAUACAUAUCACCAUGGAAGAUGAACCUGACACUUAAUAGGCUUUCCAUAUUUGAUCAACUUGAAAAAUCAAAUGUGAGGAAUUUCAUAUUUGAGAUAGUAGGUCCACUAAAGAAGAAGAACAAAUUCCAAAGAGAUCAUAAAAGCAUAAGAACACCCGCUUUGCUAAGAAUCCAGAAGAUCUCUAAGGAUUUCCAAAGUUUGGUUCCUUCUAGAAUGAGGAAACAAACAAAAUUUGUGGCUUCAUGUAAAGAGUACUGAAGGUAAAUCCAUAUACUAUGGUCUACACUAAGAAACGUGAUGAAUAUGAAGAAAGUGUAGGUUCUCCAUAUCAUGUUUCUCCACAAGACGAGCAUGGUAUUUCAUCUCUAAUGGAGGAUGAUGAGAAAUUGGAGAAUGUUUCACCGUGUUAUCAUAUAUCCUUUAACCAAGGGGACCCUCAAUAAGAUGAAGAUGAAAAAGAUGCUCCACUUGAACUUGAAGAAUGGGUAAAGACAGCAGUAGACACUUUGAAAGAAGUAAACCUGGCACUGACGAAGAACCGAAGUCUUCUUAUCUAAGUGCUUUACUAGAAGUCGAUGAAGAAAGAACUUAUAUUGAGUUACUCAAGGAGUAUAUGGAUGUAUUUGCUUGGGUUAUAAAGAGAUGCCUAGCUUGGACUCAAAGUAGCAGUCCAUCACCUUGCAGACAAGAAUGGUGAUCGUCCUAUUAAGCAAGCUCAAAAACGCUUUAGGACGGAUUUGGUUUCCCUUAUUGAAAUCGAAGUUAAAAAACUCAUCAAAUAUCGCUUUAUUUGUGAAGUUAAAUUCCCAACAUGUGUUUUAAGUGUUGUCCCUACAAGGAAGAAUGAUGACUAGAUUCGAGUGUGCUUUGAAGGGUCUCAACAAUGCGUGUCCCAAAUAUAUAUUAUUUUCUAUUCUAGAUCUGAUGAUCGAUGCUACUACUGAUUAUGAGGAGAUGUAUUUCAUGGACGGUUCAUUGUGCGACAACCAAAUCUACAUGGCACCAAAAGAUGAAGAGCUUACUGCAUUCUGCACCCCUAAGGGUAUUUAUUGCUACAAGGUAAUGCCUUUUGGCUUGAAUAAUGCUGGUGCUACUUACCGAAGGGCUAUGUAGAAUAUUUUUGAUGACCUUAUCCACAAAAAAACAUAAUGCUACGUUGAUGACUUGGUGGUAAAAUCAAGAAAGAGGAGCGACCACUUGAAAUACUUGAGAAUGGUGUUUGAGUUGCUCCGGAGGUACCAACUUAGGAUGAAUCUAUUGAAAUGAUCCUGUGGAGUUACUUUUGGAAAGUUCCUUGAUUUUAUUGUUCGACAUUGAUGGAUCGAAAUUGAUCAUGCCAAAGUAGAUGCAAUUUUGAUAAUUUUAAGCCCGUGAUAUUCAUGACAUGAAAAAUCUGCAAGGAAAGAUAGCGUAGGAGAUUCAUCUUAAACCUAGUUGGGACCAUUCAGUCACCUCAUGAAGAAAGGUGUUCCUUUAAAGUGGGACCAAGCUUGUAGAAAUACGUUUGAAAGUACUAAAACUUACUUGAUGAAGCCUCUAGUUUUGGCAACCCCUAUUCCUGAAAUGCCAUUAAUACUAUACAUUUAGGCACAAGAAAGGUUUGUUGGAGCACUGUUUGUCCAAGAAAAUAGUGAAGGGAAAGAAAAAUUCUAUUACUACUUGAGCAGGAUGAUGACACCAAAUAAGCUGAAUUAUUCACCAAUUAAAAAAUUUAUGUUUGGCGCUAGUCUUCUCAAUCCAAAAGUUGAAUCACUACUUUUAAGCUUAUGUCCGUAGUCUUGUUUCUAGAGCAAAUCCCAUCAAGUUCGUAAUGUCAAAACCUAUCCUUAGUGGUCGACUAGAAUGAUGGUACCUCCAGUUUCAACAAUUUAAAAUUUUGUACAUCCCUCAAAAGGCUAUAAAAGGACAAGCAUUAUCAGAAUUUUUAGCAGAUUAUGCUAUACUUGAUGAUUGGGAGCUAACUAACGAACUACCUGAUGAGGAUGUAAUGGUCAUUGAAGUUCAACCUCCCUGGUAUAUGUACUUUGAUGGUGUUUCUCAUCGUGGAGGAGCUGGUGCGGGCGUAGUAUUUGUCACUUCUCAAGGAGAGGUUAUGCCCUACUCUUUUAUGUUGACGCAACUCUGCUCCAACAAUGUUGCUGAGUAUCAAGCAUUAAUACUUGGGCUUGAAUAACUGUCGAAAUGAAGCAGUUACAAUUGCAAAUCAUUGGUGACUCCUAGUUAGUGAUCAACUAUCUAUUAGGUAGUUACAAGGUCAAGAAACCUGAACCACGCUCAUAUCAUGAUUAUGCUAAAAAAUGAAUAGGGUAGGUCAGUGAUGUGACGAUUCAACAUGUGCCUAGGAAAGAAAAUAAGAAAUCUGAUGCUUUAGUUGCUUUAGCUUCAUCGUUAACAUUGGCCGAUCAAGCGCAAGUACUAUCUGCCAAAAAUAGGUAGUACCGGCGCCGAAUGAGCAUGAAAGUGAGGAAAAUGAGCUCGAGCAACUUUUCACUGUUUCUGAAGGUGAGAGGGAAGAAUUGGCGACAAACUAUUAUCGACUACCUGAGUUAUAGGAUAUUUUCCAGAAAAUCCACGAAGAAGGACUGAGAUCCGCCGUUGCGUGCCAUUUUUCCUUUACUACAAGGAUACCCUAUAUAGAAUAUCAUUUGAUGGAGUACUCUUUCGAUGCUUAGGGGAAGAUGAAGCACUCCAAACUUUAAAGAAUCAUAUUCUAGGAUAUGUGGAUCACAUUAGUUUGGAUCAAAGCUCUACUUUCAUGUAAAAAGGAUGAGAUAUUAUUGGCCAACGAUGGUAAAAGAUUACUUGGAAUAUGCUCGAUGAUGCAAGGCUUUCCAGUUCUAUACAAAUUCUAUUCAUCAGUCUUAUGAAGUGAUAUAUCCAACUGUUUCAUCAUGGAACUGCGAUGUUUGGGGAUUGGAUGUCGUCAGACUGCUACCAAAAUAUUCCCGCGGACAUUUAUAUAUCUUGGUUGAAAUCGUUUACUUCUCAAAAUGGGCGGAAGCCAUUGCUCUCAAGGAAGUAAAGAAGAAGAAUGUUGCAAACUUCAUUCGAGUAAAUAUCAUCUAUCACUUUGGCAUCUCUCAUUACAUAAUAACGGAUAAUGACAAGCCAUUUGAUAGCAAGUUGAUGAACAAGAUUUGUAAUCUCUUUGGCUUCAAGAAACGUAGCGUUUCUAUGUACAAUGCUACUGCCAAUGGCCUAGAUGAGACAUUCGAUAAGACUUCAUGCAACUUGUUGAAGAAGUUCAUCUCCAAGUCCAAACAAUAUUGGCCUUACCGUAUGCAAAAAGCUCAUUGGGCGUACAGGACAAUCAUCACAUGCCAACACUAAAAACCCCUUAUUCACUUGUUUAUGAGUCGAAGCCGUUUUUCCAUUCGAGCGUCAAAUACUUCAUUACGAUUAGCUAUUCAAGAAAGGAUCACUAAUGAAGAAAAUGCUUGACUUCGACUAAUAGAGUUGGAGGCUCGUGAUGAGAAAGCGUUGGAAGCUCAACAAGUGUCUUGAACAUUAUCAAUUUUGAUUGUCUUACGCCUUCAAUAAAAGUGUUCGCCCAAGAUCCUUUCAAGUAGGAGAUCAAUUCCUUGACAUACAAAGACCCAUUAUUAUUUCCCAUAAACCUGUAGGGAAGUUCAUUUCAAAAUGGGAUGGGCCAUAUGUCGUAUAAGAGACUUAUUAAAGUGGGACUUACAAGCUAGUUGAUGCAUAUGACAUUAAUCAGCCCUAUCUAUGGAAAGUUUUUGACGAAGAAUUGUCCUUGAAGUGCAAUGCUCCUGGAUGCACAAGCCUAAACUGCAUGUCACGAAGCUCUUCAAAUUUGAGAAAAAUCUUCAAGUUGCAAAGCUCCUCAAAAUACAAGCUUAAAUUACAAGUCGAUACGCUAUUGUAUGGGCAUAAACUACAUGUUACUCUUGUCCAACAAGAGUAUAAACUUUGCACGACCUAAACAAAAAGAGAGGUCCGCUAGGUUGAAAACCUCGAAAGAGGUGGCCUAGGCAAAAAUUAGGACAUUAAAAAAACCUUACUAAUUCUGAACUACGGUAUGAUUUGAUCCUCUUCACCUAGAUACGUUGGUAGAUUAGAGUUUCAUUCUAAGUUAAGUCGCACAAGUUAAAAAUAUAUAUCACCCCAAGUGCUGUCCAGUAAAGUAUGUCGGAAUACAAUUUGCUUGUUGGCACCUAAGCAUGGGGCUUAUAUGUAUCCUUUACCUUAUCAAAAAGGUUGAUGGAUCAAUGUGGGCAAGUCUAUAGGCUCAAUAAUAGAUUAGCGUCUCCAAUGAUAUGGUUAUAGUCAUUCUGAAAUAGGCAAAAUCUUAAAGCUGAUAUUUUAAGUCCGCCGGUUGUCUUCCAAAAUUCUCCAAGUACAUAAGUUGAAUCCGUAAAAUCCAUCUAAGUCUACUCUUGAAAUGGUUCUUAAUAUAAAGGUGCUUUUAUGUCAAGGUAUCGACCUUUGAGCUGAAGCGCUCAAAGCUAAAAGUCCCAAAGUGGCUAAAUGCGAAGGUACUAAGAAUAUCCCGGAGGAAUUCGAUUUUAAAUUUAUAUAUAUCUUAAAUUUUGAAGUCUAGUUUCCGGUAAACCAAACGAUUCUUAAUUUUAAUAUUUCUACAUCAAGACAUGAUUUUUGUUUGGUAAAACUUUGCAAAUCUGAAACUGUCAUCAUGUCAGAAUCCAAAAUUGAUUUUAAAAUAUUAUAUGGGAUGAUUCUGAAGGUUUUUGAUUGGAAAUUUUGUAUGUGUCCUAUAUUUUAAAGUCUAAUUUAAUGAAUUAAGCGAUUCGUAAUUUUGACGUUUCUACUAUGAAUUAUUUUUGGUAAGACCGCGCAAAUCUAAAAUUGUCAACGCGGUGGAAUCUCAAGUUGGUUUCAAAUAUUAUUUGGUACAAUUUUAAAGGUGUUUGAUUCCGAAUUUUAGAUAUUCCUUAGAUUUUAAAUUUUAGUAUCUAAAAAAUCAAGUGGCUCAUAUUUUGAGAAUUCUACUACAAAGGUACAAAUGUUAUAAAAUGAAAUAAAUUUAGUAAAACAUGAACAAGAAAUAUAAGCAACUUAGUGAAACAUGAACAAGAAAUAUGGAUAGAGAGAAGGAAGAGAUUUUCUUCUUCAAUUGUAUAUUUUAUGCAAAAAGCUCAUUGGGCGUACAGGACAAUCAUCACAUGCCAACACUAAAAACCCCUUAUUCACUUGUUUAUGAGUCGAAGCCGUUUUUCCAUUCGAGCGUCAAAUACUUCAUUACGAUUAGCUAUUCAAGAAAGGAUCACUAAUGAAGAAAAUGCUUGACUUCGACUAAUAGAGUUGGAGGCUCGUGAUGAGAAAGCGUUGGAAGCUCAACAAGUGUCUUGAACAUUAUCAAUUUUGAUUGUCUUACGCCUUCAAUAAAAGUGUUCGCCCAAGAUCCUUUCAAGUAGGAGAUCAAUUCCUUGACAUACAAAGACCCAUUAUUAUUUCCCAUAAACCUGUAGGGAAGUUCAUUUCAAAAUGGGAUGGGCCAUAUGUCGUAUAAGAGACUUAUUAAAGUGGGACUUACAAGCUAGUUGAUGCAUAUGACAUUAAUCAGCCCUAUCUAUGGAAAGUUUUUGACGAAGAAUUGUCCUUGAAGUGCAAUGCUCCUGGAUGCACAAGCCUAAACUGCAUGUCACGAAGCUCUUCAAAUUUGAGAAAAAUCUUCAAGUUGCAAAGCUCCUCAAAAUACAAGCUUAAAUUACAAGUCGAUACGCUAUUGUAUGGGCAUAAACUACAUGUUACUCUUGUCCAACAAGAGUAUAAACUUUGCACGACCUAAACAAAAAGAGAGGUCCGCUAGGUUGAAAACCUCGAAAGAGGUGGCCUAGGCAAAAAUUAGGACAUUAAAAAAACCUUACUAAUUCUGAACUACGGUAUGAUUUGAUCCUCUUCACCUAGAUACGUUGGUAGAUUAGAGUUUCAUUCUAAGUUAAGUCGCACAAGUUAAAAAUAUAUAUCACCCCAAGUGCUGUCCAGUAAAGUAUGUCGGAAUACAAUUUGCUUGUUGGCACCUAAGCAUGGGGCUUAUAUGUAUCCUUUACCUUAUCAAAAAGGUUGAUGGAUCAAUGUGGGCAAGUCUAUAGGCUCAAUAAUAGAUUAGCGUCUCCAAUGAUAUGGUUAUAGUCAUUCUGAAAUAGGCAAAAUCUUAAAGCUGAUAUUUUAAGUCCGCCGGUUGUCUUCCAAAAUUCUCCAAGUACAUAAGUUGAAUCCGUAAAAUCCAUCUAAGUCUACUCUUGAAAUGGUUCUUAAUAUAAAGGUGCUUUUAUGUCAAGGUAUCGACCUUUGAGCUGAAGCGCUCAAAGCUAAAAGUCCCAAAGUGGCUAAAUGCGAAGGUACUAAGAAUAUCCCGGAGGAAUUCGAUUUUAAAUUUAUAUAUAUCUUAAAUUUUGAAGUCUAGUUUCCGGUAAACCAAACGAUUCUUAAUUUUAAUAUUUCUACAUCAAGACAUGAUUUUUGUUUGGUAAAACUUUGCAAAUCUGAAACUGUCAUCAUGUCAGAAUCCAAAAUUGAUUUUAAAAUAUUAUAUGGGAUGAUUCUGAAGGUUUUUGAUUGGAAAUUUUGUAUGUGUCCUAUAUUUUAAAGUCUAAUUUAAUGAAUUAAGCGAUUCGUAAUUUUGACGUUUCUACUAUGAAUUAUUUUUGGUAAGACCGCGCAAAUCUAAAAUUGUCAACGCGGUGGAAUCUCAGUUGCAUCUCUUCCAUUUGGCCAAUAUAUUUGUUUGUAUUCGACAAACUUAAGAUCAUCAUCAAUAUUUAGCGCUAUCAUAGAUGUCGUCGACGAACAUUUUAUAUCAGUUCCAAUAAAUUUUCAUNNNNNNNNNNNNNNNNNNNNNNNNNNNNNNNNNNNNNNNNNNNNNNNNNNNNNNNNNNNNNNNNNNNNNNNNNNNNNNNNNNNNNNNNNNNNNNNNNNNNNNNNNNNNNNNNNNNNNNNNNNNNNNNNNNNNNNNNNNNNNNNNNNNNNNNNNNNNNNNNNNNNNNNNNNNNNNNNNNNNNNNNNNNNNNNNNNNNNNNNNNNNNNNNNNNNNNNNNNNNNNNNNNNNNNNNNNNNNNNNNNNNNNNNNNNNNNNNNNNNNNNNNNNAACUUAAUAUGAGCAUUUGCAAUGAGAAUAUAGUUACUUUCUUUGGGUCAGCAAAUGCGUGUGGCAUGCUUUGCAAUAUGUUGCAAUUGAAUUAUAUUUUAUGAACUUCAAGUUCAUAUUAUGAUAUUCGAGGAUCAAUAUAUACAAAUGAUAAUCCGUUCCAUGUAACUUUUUCUCAAGUGUUUAUCAUGUCUCCCCCUNNNNNNNNNNNNNNNNNNNNNNNNNNNNNNNNNNNNNNNNNNNNNNNNNNNNNNNNNNNNNNNNNNNNNNNNNNNNNNNNNNNNNNNNNNNNNNNNNNNNNNNNNNNNNNNNNNNNNNNNNNNNNNNNNNNNNNNNNNNNNNNNNNNNNNNNNNNNNNNNNNNNNNNNNNNNNNNNNNNNNNNNNNNNNNNNNNNNNNNNNNNNNNNNNNUCUCGUAUAUAACGUAUAUCAAAUUGAUAUAGAUAACUUUGUUCUCAUAAGCAAUAGUUUAGCUAUUAAGUGGAGGCACUCAAUAAAUUCUUGUCCAAGAUUUUUGAUUUCAGGUUGAGUCUAACUCAGUAAAUGCAGGUAAAAACAAAAAUCUUGAGAACUGCAGAGAAAACGGUGUGGGUGUUCCAGUUGUUGAUAUUCCACUACGAAACCUUGGAAAUGCACCAAAACCAAUUCCCAUGGAUGCGGUCUCACGCGACUCCCAACACGUCGAUAUUAGCUCCCAUACUAACAAGAGCGUGCACCUAGGAGAUCAUAUAAAAACUCAGAAAACCUUGACUAAGGAAGAAUAAGAGGUGAGCCUUCAUGUUAUUUUUAAUAGGUUACACGUACAGCAGCUGGCGAUUGCUCAGCUUCAGAGUCUACGGAAUACUCAUAGCACGAUAACACCAGGCAUGGCCCCACCAGCCGAGCAGGUACCCGAGAGAUCGAGCAACAACAGAUCGGCAGCCGACCCUGCUAUCGUAAAGAUGCUCGAAGAUCUCGUAAAGAGGAUCAAGUUACGCGAGAAGAUGAUAGAAGCCAACAACAAGAAGGUCGAGACCUAUAACUCCAGGGUUGAUCGAAUUCCAGGCGCACCACCAAUCCAGAAAGGUGCGGAUUCAUAGAUGUUCGCACAGAAGCUGUUCCCAAAGGAAGCAACUCCAAAUUCCUUCCCAAAGAAGUUCAUAAUUCCAGACCUUCUAAAGUAUAAUGGAAUCUCAGAACCCAAUGAUCACGUUACUCCUUACACCUGUGCUGUGAAGGGCAACACAUGAAAGACGACGAGAUUGAGUAUGUAUUGCUGAAGAAGUUUGGAGAAACACUUUCUAAAGGGGAAAUGAUGUGGUAUCACAACCUAGCCCCAAACUCAAUCACUUGUCAUGCUGGCAGAUUCUUAAUUAAGGCACAUGCCAGUGCCAUAAAAGAAGCAACAAGGAAAUCCGAUAUCUUUAAGAUGAAGCAGAGGGAGAACGAAAUGUUGUGAGAGUUCGAAUCCCCUUUCCAAAUGUAACUUCUACCGGUCUUUGACAAUUGGGUAGUACAAACUUUCACUCAAGGUCUAAAUGAACGGAGCUAGGUGGCUUCAAAGUAGCUGAAACAGAAUCUGGUUGAAUAUCUUGCCGAGAUCUGGACAUACAUUCACAAUCGAUAUCAAUCUAAAAUCAAGGUCGAGGAUGACCAACUAGGAGCCCUCUUAGGCUCGGUAUACCCAAGAAGGCUUCUGGCAAAGGAGCCAAAACCAAAAAAAUAAAGGUAGCAGUAAUACAUCGACGACAGGAGAAACGCCUUGAGAUUAACAUACCCUGCAAUGAUCGAAGGAUGGACUGAGGCAAGAAUACUCGGGGACUCAUCAAUAAAGCUAGGUUCGAUAAGUACACAGAGCCAACAGAAGUAAACCGUUUGUUAGAUUACAACUUCAACAUCGAUGUAUCAUACAUCGUGUUUGCCAUCAGUAAAGUCAGGGAUGCUAGUUGUCCCAGGCUUGUGAAAUCAGAUCCUUCACAAAGGAAUUAUAACUUAGUGUGCGAAUUUCACAACAAGCACGACCAUAGGAUCAAGGAUUGCUACUAGCUCCUGGAAAAAGUAGCCUGACUACUUAGUAAAGGUCAUAUCUAAGAAUUCAUCAGCGAUCGGACCUAAAAUGAGUUCAAGGAAAGAGAGGCAACCAAGAAGGAAAAAACAAAUGAGCCACAACAUGUCAUCCUCAUAUGAUUUUGGAGGCAUCGAUGCCCCCAAGAGCCCAUGAUGAGAAGAAAAAAUUAUCUAUCACCAGGGAAAAGUGAACUCGGGGCUACAUACCCGAGGACGCUCUAACAUUUAGUGACAAGGACAUCAAGACCUUGUCUCAGCCUGGCAACGAUGCACCGAUAAUAUCUUUCCUUGUAAAUACAUUUCAAAUUAAACGCAUAUUUAUGGAUACAGGUAGCCUGACCAAUAUUCUCAGGUUGAGGGUGAUAGAGUAGCUCGGACUGCUUGAACAAAUUGUGCCCGACUCUCGAGUCCUCAAUGGAUUCAAUAUGCCAUGCAAAAUGACAAAAAAGGCAAUCACCCUCCCGGUCAACGUGACCGGAAUGACCUAAAAUGCCAAAUUCCAUUUCAUCAAAAGAGACAUGUGGUAUAACGCCUUGAUCGGAAGGCCGUGGAUACACUGCAUGAGAGAGGUAUCAUCCACCCUCCAUAAAAUGAUGAAAUUCCUGACAAAGGAUAGGAUUAAAACCGUCUAUGGGGAACAAUGUGUGCAGUAAAAAUGUUCGCAGUGCACGAUAUAGCCCCGACACCAGCACAUCUACCUUCGAAGGAGCCGAAGGAUAGGAAAGAUGUGAAAUAGCAAUAGAAAGCUACUUCUUUGUUUCAGCCCGACUAAACAAAGCAGAGGACGGUACGGCGUCCUCAUCAUUGGCGACCGAAAAACAUCGGGGCUCGAAACAUCGCUGGCAUAUUCUAGACUUAGGAAUGUCCAUCUCCCAUUUCAUUUUAUAUACUUCAUACUAACCUUUAUGCAGGCGUCCAAUCGAUGUAGAUAAAAUUCUAACCCAUCCCGAAGACCUUAAGGUUUUAAAUUAUCUGCUGCACUCUUUUACUUCGACCAGGUUCUUAUCCCAAAAAAGGUUUUACCGGAAGGGUUUUUAAUGAGGCAACAUCCAUAUGCUACCAAAGGAGGACUCAACAAGUAUUCUAGUUUUCUUUUGCAUCCCACCUCAAAUAUUGGGGGGCAUCCCCCUAUAAGGUCACCUACUCGGAGAAGCCUAUAUACACCAAAUAAGGUCUCAAAAGAAAAUGAUGUAUUGGGCCAAAUAGUCGAACGAACAGGUCCAUAUAGAAUAAACGAGCCCUUGAUGGCGAAGUCAUGUAAACUUAUACCAAGUAAUCGAAGAAUACUUUUCUUAAAAGCAUUUCACGCUUCAAAAGAAACUCGGCAUUUUCGAAGAAAUGACUUCUCUGUCAAAAACGUCCCGAACACUCAGGACUUGCAUCAACAAUUCAACACCUGAACAAUCGCCGGGUCGGAACUCCAAACUCAUAAGCCCUCAAUGAGGAAACAUCAAAAUCACAAAACGUCUCUAAAGCUGAAAGUGUCCCCAACACUUCAGGACUGGCAUCAAAAUCUAGAAAACAACAAGAUCCCCGGGUCUGAAACUUUAGAAUUGUAAUCCCUCAAUGAGGCAAUUCCAAGUUUGAAUGAACUGGCUCCCUAGCCGAGGAAGCCUCGAUAACUCGGGGACUACAUUUAGUUGCCAUCUCUAUCUACUUAUCAAAAACACGAGGCCAUAAGACCCCAAGCGGGUAGACUUGAUUUUGUAAGACCUAUAUAAGGCAACAACAAUAUUUGUAAGACCUCAAGCAAGGCAUGAACCAUACUUGUACCAAGUAUCCAAAACAGUAUGACCUCGAAGGAAUGUAAAACUUGUAAGACCUUACUAAAGGCAUAAAUCAAAUCUCAAAGUUAAGGUUAUUUCGAACUUGUAAGAGCUUUAAAAGGCAUGCGCAUGAUAUAUACGUCGAGACUACUUCACUCGGGAUUAAAAAUGGCUCCGUCCAAGCACGAAUGACUACAAUCAUAUGGAUGUACCAUGUUAUCUCCUAAACGCUCUCGACAUCAGCAAAAAAGCUUUGACCAUGUUAGCUCCUAAACGCUGGCUUCGAGAUACUCAGCCUUCUAGCCAAACCUUCUGAGGUGCUUGAUCAACGCCAUAUAACGACUCGUAAUCGAGGUUUUUUUUUUAUUAAAUUGUCAAAGAGUCAGGCAAACACUAUUUCAAACAAUCCUUAUCGAGGGAAAAAUAAAGUCUAUAAUAGGUCGCAGCGACCUAUCGUGUAAGAGUCUAUAUUGCCAGCCCAUAUUAAAGGUCGCAUCGACCCAAGGCAUAAGAGCCAUUGUUUCCAGCCCACAUAAAAGGUCGCAUUAACCUAAGGUGUAAGAGCCAUUGUGUCCAGCCUACAUAAAAGGUCGUACCGACCCAACGUGUAAGAGCCUAAGGGCCGGUUUGAAAUUAUAAAACUUGAGGGUCAAAUGAUCUCGAGUCCAUGCUCAAAACAAUUAGAAAGUAUGCCCGAGAGCAAAAGCGAAAGAACUCAAAAGCCGGUUUAAAGGUCACAUCAAACAAAAGCCUAAAAUCCACUAUCGCCAACCUAAAAUUCGACAUCUUAAAUGUCAAAUGAGCUUGAGUUGAUACCCAAAUCAGAGACUAAGCCUAAUAUAGUUGGUCAAAAAAUGCCUAAGAGCAAUCAUAAAAGCUCAAACACUGGCUUAUACUAAAGGCUUAUAUCGGCCAAGCGUGUAAGAGCCUAUGGGCCGGCCUAACGAGCCUCAAAGCAGUACUAUAAAUAUAAGGAUUCCUUCUAACUCAAAGACCAGUUCAUCUAGCCUAAUUCAUGACAGAAAGAGAUGAAAAAGAAAUAAAACUGUAAGGUUUCCUUUUGUACACAUAUACAAAAAAACAGAAGAUCCAUCAACAAACGCGUUUUGAAAAUGCUAUAUAUAGGAUUAGAAAGUAAAAUCUACGUCCCCAAUAGGGGAUAUGGACCGUAAUCUUCAUCUUUUCUAUCCUCAGCGUCAGACAGAAGUAACCGAGCACUAUGCUCGUCCGCCCUUGCCCUAUCAACUCUUCAAAGAGGUCAAAUCCCCUAGCACGGAUCUCCUUGAGGGUUUUCCUCCGAAAAUUACACCAAGCAUAUUCUUUGCACAUGUCUUCGUAGUCAAGGAUCCUUCUCAUCUCAGCUUCAGCAUCGGUAGCAUCAUUUAAAUAGAAUGCCACGUUCUGGUCAGCCUUAGUUUGGAUCAUUACGGCUUUAGCCCGGGUGUCCAUAAUCUGGCCUUGAACAUCAAAAGCUCGGAGUCAAGCUUCGUAAUCAACUCUGUUGCAGCCAAUGUAUUAUCAUGGCCUAAGCAAAGUUGAACCUCAAAGGCUGAAGCUUUAGCUAGAGCACCCUUCCCUACUAAAGCUUAUACCGCCUCCCAAGCUUUUAGCUCAUAAUGCUCACACCUGGCUCGGCUAAAAUCGUUCCAAAGGCGCGCUAGGUCCUCUGUUAUUUUCUACGAUUGAAAUAAAUAAAACAUUUGCGUCAGGAGCUAGAAAAAAGAACAUACACUCACUCAGAAAAAAAAUAUCUUCUCCUUCAAGAAGCUUUCAUAAUUUAAGCUUUGAUUCGCUUCAUACCAUAAGUGUGCCAAAUCGACUUCCCUUUCAUAUCAAAGGAGCAUAAGGUAUUUCUCCUUAUCCAGAGCUUUCCGCAGCCUGGCGUCACGGUGAAGCAGCUCUGAACUAAGCUUGUCGAAGGCCUGCAAAUGAAUACACAAUGAGAAAGGGAAGGUGAAAAACAUAAAAGGGGCUUGUGCUAAAAAUAACCAUAUAGUGAAGCCGUUGAGUUUACUCGAAGGUCGAGCGCACAUAUGCCGGAAUGGCUCCCUUAGUCCUGGAAGAAUCGAUCCUGGUUGGGAUACAGUCACUCGGUGUAUAUGAUCCGGGGAUUUGUAUAUUUCUUGAAGUACCUUCGAUGGAAAAACAAGACGGCAUCGGAAGAGAAACCACCUUUCCAUAACAAAAAAUCGCGGGUGAAGCAGGCUCAGUCAAUGCAUCCUGUUCAAGCCCCCUAUGUGGGUUCGUCUUGCUUUGAGUACCAUCGCCUGACAAAGGUAUUUCUUGCUUGUUUUUAUCAUUAUUUAACCCAGAAGCCAGUAAUCCUUCUCCCUCUCCUAAAAGGUAUAACCUCGUUUUGAGGGACUCCCCAAUGCCUAAACCUAGCUAGUAUACAGAAAGAAAAAAGUGUCCUUCCUAGAAGGGUGGGGGGGGNNNNNNNNNNNNNNNNNNNNNNNNNNNNNNNNNNNNNNNNNNNNNNNNNNNNNNNNNNNNNNNNNNNNNNNNNNNNNNNNNNNNNNNNNNNNNNNNNNNNNNNNNNNNNNNNNNNNNNNNNNNNNNNNNNNNNNNNNNNNNNNNNNNNNNNNNNNNNNNNNNNNNNNNNNNNNNNNNNNNNNNNNNNNNNNNNNNNNNNNNNNNNNNNNNNNNNNNNNNNNNNNNNNNNNNNNNNNNNNNNNNNNNNNNNNNNNNNNNNNNNNNNNNNNNNNNNNNNNNNNNNNNNNNNNNNNNNNNNNNNNNNNNNNNNNNNNNNNNNNNNNNNNNNNNNNNNNNNNNNNNNNNNNNNNNNNNNNNNNNNNNNNNNNNNNNNNNNNNNNNNNNNNNNNNNNNNNNNNNNNNNNNNNNNNNNNNNNNNNNNNNNNNNNNNNNNNNNNNNNNNNNNNNNNNNNNNNNNNNNNNNNNNNNNNNNNNNNNNNNNNNNNNNNNNNNNNNNNNNNNNNNNNNNNNNNNNNNNNNNNNNNNNNNNNNNNNNNNNNNNNNNNNNNNNNNNNNNNNNNNNNNNNNNCGAUGUAGCAUGUAUUGUGGUGUUUUGCCUCCCACCUAUUCCAAGAUAAAACUUUCCACUUAUGCUAAUUAUAUGUCGAGUGGCUCGCCAACUUGCAAACCCAGUUCUGUAGAUCAGGAACCUUGCCCGACAUCCAUAAAAUCGCAAGAGAAAAGGAAAAGAAGGCAAAUUUUAUGAAGCUAGCCUUCACCAUAAACAAAAUUUAGAAGGCAAGAGUGUAUCACUUACAUGUAUAAUUCCAUUCCUCAGGGAAUGAAAUAUACUCUACGGGGAUAAUAUCAACGGUCCAUACUUGGACGAACCGACUCAUCCAUUCAUGAUCUCUAUAUUUGUCAGUAUCAACGAUGAAAGACGUGGUCGACUGGCAUCAUAUGGUUAGUAGACCUCUAUAGUGAAAAGGCCGGUACAACCUGGUAAGAUGACUGAGUUGAAUUCAACCCUUGACUUCUUUACAAAGAACCUUAUAAUCACUACUAUACGCAUAAAUGAUGGGUGAAUUUCUGCUAGGGUAACUCGAUACUUUUGACAGAAUUCAAGCACAACUCUAUCAAGGGGUCCCAGUAUAGUGUACACAUUCAAAAAUCCCUCGAUGCGGUCCGCGAUGCUCUUUUCCAGGGAAGGUAUCUACAAUACUACAUUUUCUUCCCGUCCACAGUCCUUCCUAACCAACUCAAGUUGCUUCUCUACUAUUAAAGAAAUGAACUUUGAGGAAUAAUACCAAUAACCUCGAAUGUUGGGAGUCUCUUCUGAUGGAAGAUUCACUCAUGAAACAAAGUGUCAGGAGGCAAAGCUCGUUUCUCCUUGUUAAACGGAUUCAGGCAUAGCAGCCAUACCUAUAGUAAAAUGAAGGAUGGGAAAAUGACGGCUUGGGUGGAAGCUUUGAGUUAAAGGAAAAGUGGCGUAAUAAAGAAGAAAUUUAUAAGAGAGGAUAGCUGCCUAGAAUAUCAGAAUCUCCAAAAGCGCGAGGAUAACACAAUAUAUGGGAAAAGCAGUGACCACCUCCCUGCCCCAAAGUCUGACUAGAAAUAUUGGCUAGAGCUUUUAUCACUUUGGAAAGAUACACUGGCAGAAUCACCUCGGGAAAUAUUGCCAUACGAUACUUCAAAGCCGAAAACCCCAUGUCAACAAAGUCCCGAGGUAGUACCCGACCUCGAGGACCUCCGUCAAAAAAAUGUUAGGCUCCACGAAGCCAUUCACAUUAUUCCAAGUCCCGAGGUGGUGCCUGACCUUGAGGACCUACAUCAAAAUGAAGUUAAGCUCUAGGAAGCCAUUAGCAUCAUUCUAAGUCCCGAGGAGGUACCUCGAGGAUCUUUAUUAAAAAAAGGUUAGGCUCCAGGAAGCCAUUAGAAUACAUAUAUGUCCCGAGGUGGUACCCGACCUCGAGGACCUUCAUAAAAACGAAGUGAGGCUCCGUGAAGCCAUUGGCAUCAUUGCAAGUCAGGAGGUGGUACCAGACCUCUAGGACCUCUAAGAGAAGAAGACAAGCUCUAAGUAAACCAUUACAAGUCUCGAGAUGGUACCCAAUCUUGAGGACCUCCACAAAAAGGGAGAUAAGCUCUCAUACCCACUUGUAUGGGUUCAACCUCGAGGAAUCUGAGCAACCCCUGCGGGGUCUAAAAGGCUACGUCUUGUCCCAAAGGUGAAAAGCCGUACUCCUAUUCAACUCAAGGUCGUGGGUCCCAACGGCCUGAGUUUAUCAGUCCAAUCCGGGCUCUGUCCAAGGACUGACAAAAGGUUUCAUGGUAAAUCGUCUUAGUCAGUCAAGAUCCGGAGAGAUGCUCGUACCCGGGCUCGACAUUUGCACCAACCAGUAUACCCAUGAAAUAAGAUUGUCCAGAAAUGUAAAUAGAAGGAAACCUAGCAUAAAUCAAAGACAUAAUUGAAGAAGCAUCUUUAUAUUGAUAAACACUUGAUUACAAAAGCAUACACAAUUAAAGUCUAGAGCCUAGCCUAUUUUUCGAGGAGCAUCCUCGAUGGCAGUAUAUUCUAGUGUCAUCUUCUUGGGGGUCUUGUUUUAGUCUUCCACAAUGAUAUCUCCGAGGGAGACGAUGAAGAAGAGAAAAGUGAAAGAAUUAGAAAGGGAUGAAGUUCCACACCAAGCCAGGGUACGAGAGUAACCAGCAGUGUAUAAUCACCACGCCCUCCUGAGAAAUGGUGUAGAGUCCAAACGUCCUCCUAAGCCGGAAGACGUCGGUGUCGCACUUCCUUUUCUACCCACCCGAAGGGGUAUAAGGGAGUUUUUCCAAUUAAAGUGACAUUAUUUGAAAUGGAAUUAUUUUAUUUAAUCAGAGUCGCCACUCGAGAUAAUUAUGGUGUCCCAAGUCACCAGUAAUUUCUAAAUCCCAAAUUGAGAAAAAUCAACUUUAUUUAAAAGUUUGCGAACCAAAAAUUCUUAAUAAGGAAUUCUAUUAAUUCGGGAGGAGGUUUUAGGCCUUCCCGGGUUCUGUGGUCAAGCACGGCUGCUUAGUGAUUCUUACAUGGCUUAAAUGAUUUAACUACUCAUUUUUAGGAAUAUGAGAAUUUAUCAUUUUACCUCUUUUAAUCACUUAAUUAUUCGUAAAUAAAGAAUUGAGUUAGGCGUACGUAUACUCUUUUAUUUUGGUGCAUCAAAAAUCAUGAAACGUGAACGUGUACACAAUUAAUAACACUUUAUUGAUUUUAUUUAAGAAAGAUUUGGUUGGUUGCGUGAAAGAAUACCUAGAGUUACGUUUUUGAAUAAAUGUGCAAUUUAUGUUACGUGGACAUCUACAUAAUCGUAAUACUAAUCUAAAUCGAGCCUAAUGAAAACUACGAUUAUUUAUGAUUAUUUUAAUGCUAAGUUAAGAUUAAAGUGAGGGUUAUAGGAUAAGGAUUUUUUUUAAUAUGGCACAAUUUGAAUUAUUUGGACAGCUGGUACACUUUCUAGAAUAUUCUCAUAUUUUUUCAAUGUAAAAGUCCAGUAUAACCUUUUAAAAUCUGCUUAUUUAAUUUUUACCUGCACUUUAUUGGUUAAGUUAGGUCCCUUAGGUUCCUAUUUUUGGAAAAUCGCAACCAACAUAGAAAACCAUAGUUAACACACAUGAAAAGAUUAAAGGAAUAGACUAUUGAGCAAACAACCUUUAAAUUAAAACUAAAAUCAAUUGACAUGAACAAAAUAAAAAAUGAAACAAACAUAGAAGAAAUGUUUAAACCUAAUACAUUAGAAAUAAAACAAGAACAUAAUAAAACUUUAAACCUAAUAUUAGCAGAGUUUCAAAGGAAAAUUAUUUAACCUACGUACAAGUAAUAAAACUUAGAAAUUAGAAACAGAAAAAGGGAACUUAAGUCAUGCAGCCAAAUUAGCAAUAGAACCAAUUGAAAAGAAACAACCCAUAAUUUAAACUAACCUGGCUAAAUUAUCCUAAAUGUCUCGAACUAUAUUUAAUUAAAAUGAUUGACUAAUUAAACGUGAUUUACUAAAGUCCGAAGAAGCCAACAAUUCAAACAAACUAGACUGAUACCUAAAAAUAAAAAUAACCAACUAAAGAAAAGAUGAGAAGAAACACAAACGUCUUGAUUUUUUUCGGAAAAACUCGAACCAACAGAGCGAAACAACGAACAGAGGUUUUUUGAGAUCCUUGGUCGGUCAGUACAUGACUUGGUCGGAAUUCAAUGGUCUCGAAAUAAGCAAAAACUUAUACUAAUUGAUUGCUCUCGUCAAGAAUAAUUGAUUAGCAUGUCUUUUAACUCAAAUUGAGCCUGCAACCCCCUAAAACCAAAAAGAAGAAGAAAAUUUAGGGUUUGGUAUUUUCCAUAAGAAUUUAGAUCCGAAAUUAGGGUAAAUGGGUAAGGACGCAAUUGAUGAUGGAUAUAUGAUGAUGAGGCUAUGGUGGUUCCCUGGUUAGAAGAUGGGGGUGUUUGGAACAGCGUUGCCAGCCGGUGGUGUUUGGGCAUUAGGGUGCGGCAAAGGUUUGGUAUUGUGAGAGAAGAGAGAAUGAAUGAGAGGAUAAUGAGGGCUUAGGGGUUUUUUUUGGAUAGUAAAAUUGUAGGGAAUUAAUCAUUUCCUAACCGUUAGAUCCACGAUGAUCAGCUGUUGGGAUUUAAAAGGGUUUAAAUGGGGUUGUUUAGGGGAGUGGGAUUUUGACCGGGUAAGCUGGUGAUGCAAGCCUGGUUUUGGGUGACUUUUGGGCUGGAUUGGGG